AAUGCGUGAGAUCACUAUGGCAAUGGAAUAAACCUUUAUGCGAAGAAUCUGAUAAAUGGGGUUGGAAUUCACUACACUAUGCUGUUAAACAAGGAUUGGCAGAAAUUGUUUGCGAUAUGUUGGGAUGGAAGAAAUCUUUAGCCUACCUUCCGGCAGGCAGUGAAAAUGAUUGGACGACGGCAUUUCACAUUGCAGCUAGUGAAGGUGAUGUAUUGAUGAUACGUGAGUUGUUAAACCACUGCCCAGAUUGUUGGGAUAUGCUUAAUUGCAAUGGCCAAAAUGCACUUCAUGUUGCCAUAUUGAACGGUCACGAAAUGUUUGUCUAUGUCUUCCUUGGGUCUGGAAUUUCUGAUAGCCUUGUUGAUGAGGCAAUACUCCAGUCCAUUUGCUUGCUGCCUCUGGGAACCGUGUGCCUCAAAUGAUAUUAUACCAUCCUAGCGCAAAGAAGAUGACAUUUAACAAACAAAAUCAGACUCCACUUGACAUAGCAUUGUCUCGUACAUGGACAAUAAAGAAGGUACUCUCUCUUGUCCAUGACGGACUGGAUCGGUUUUCCCCAUUUCUUUGAACUGACUCAGUCCAUUGGUUUCCUUUUUUUUUUUGUUAAUCAACAAUGUAAAUAAGAUUAGCAAAAAUUACAGAAUUAGAGGGGGACAUGGCAACCUAACCUCUAGACACAAAAAGAGAGCAUACAGAGGAGUUAAUGCUCCUAAGAGAUCUUGUCUAAGACUAAGAGUUCUGGCACAUUGAAGUGCUUUAGAAGUAAUCAGUAGCUUUAGCCUAAACAUACUGGCAUCUACAAAAGUAAGAGAAUCAUGCUCGUAGCGCUACGAAGAGUGUUUUUUUGCUUGUUUUCGAGAGGACGGGAGCUGGAUCUUAUCAAUUCAAAUGGGGCCAAUAGCCUCCUUAGGAAGGUCUUCUUUAUGUAGGAAAAUUUUAUCGGGUGGUGGCAUGCUUCGCAAGAGCAUCUGCGACUCAGCAUGCUUUGUCACGAUUCCUUUAUUUCUGUUAUUGAACUGCUUUGAUCUGUUUUUCAUCGAGCCAAGGGUCUAUCGGAAACAACUUCUCUACCUCCGGGGUAGGGAUUAUAAGGUCUGCAUACACCUACCUCCGGAGUAGGGAUUACACUGAGUAUAUUCUUGUUGUUGGUAAAGAUAAAAACUAGAGUAACAAUGAAUUAUAUUUUGUGUUUUUGAAAAUGACAACUAUUUUGGACUAUCUAUUUUUGGUAAGGAUGAAAAUAAAAUGAACCAGAGAGAAGUAGUUAUUAAUUCAUCUUUUUCUCAAGUAGUAUUAUAUUAUCUUUCACCAGCUGAUCAAUUCUAUUACUACAUGUCACAUAUAUUAGGAGAAAUUGGUAGGCGAUUUGUGCAGCAUAAAUGGACGAUUGGGACAACGUGACUUCAAGGUGAAACGGAAAACAGAAACGAUUGGUAACAUACGACAGAUUAAGAAGGAGGAUGAUCAGGACAAAGCUAAGAGAGACAAAAUAGAAAUAGAAAAAAUUAUGAAGGCAGCUCAAAUACAAGUAGUUGUAGCUACUCUCCUAAUGACAGUCACUUUCGCAGCUGGUUUCACAUUGCCAGGAGGUUUAUACAACGAUGACGGUCCUAAUAAAGGGAUGGCAAUUCAAUUAAGAAAAACAGUGUUUCGUGCAUUUGUUAUUACAGAUGUCCUGGCAUUUUCAUUCUCAGCUGGUGCUAUAUUCAUCUACUUCUUCAUGGCAGAUAGCGAUGUAGACGACGAUGAAGAUUUUAAAAGGGACUGGUUCAAAGUUUUAAGGAGUUAUUAUUACAUAGCAGGGAUUUUGCAACUUUUGGCAAUGGGUGCAGUUGUAGUUACAUUGUAACUGGUAUGUAUGCUACUUUAGCAAAUUCACUUGCUCUUGCUGUUAGUGUUUGUGUCAUUGGUUGUGUCUCUUUUCUUAUGUACUUUUCGAUUAUCUUUUGGGUAUAGAAAACCAAGAAGAAACUCUUAAGAGCUCUUGCUUUUUAGGCCUAUUGAGCCAACAAACAUACUUUGUAGUCAUGCCCAAGUUGCCACCAAAUACUUGGCCCAAAUAUGUAUUAAAUUAUGGUUAGAUUAUAUGAUCUAGUAUAAAUAUUGAGUGCUAAAUAAGUACUUAUUUCUAUGUUCAAGUUUAUUUAGUGAAUUUGUAUUGAACUUUGAAAAAUCUAGAAUGGUAAUUAUUCUCCAAACGAUGGUUGUAUAUGAAAUUUCCUUUCUUCAAAUAUUAAAGACUCUUAACUUAAACUAGACUAGAUGAAAAAACAUUAUUUUGAGAACUUUACUAUUCAUGUUUUAGAAAUCAAACUAUUCAAGACUUCUUUUUUUUGUUUAUAAUUUUCUUCUUUCCUCAAAUAAAACCUACUAAAAUAAAAGGUCAAAAUGUCAAGAUUAGACAGAAAUAUAUAUUUUGUAAAACUUGGGUUCCAUAAAAAAUUAAAUAUUCAUAAUCACAUCGUCCUAUAUUAACAAGUCUUCUUCAUUUAUGGACUUCAUUUGUCAGAUAAUCUACCUAUUUGUUUGCUUCUCUCCGGAUAUGGAUGAUAUUCAUCUUGGUGGCAUCAAGUAAAUACUUGCAAUCUCUUAUGACGUCCAUUCUUUUAUGCGGAAAUAAUCUCUUCUGACCAAUUACAAUUUGGAUAGAAAAAAAUGACCGCAUUUAAAUAUUUUAUAUAUAGAAAAUAAAGAUCCAUCACAAAAGAAACAUAAAACUAAAAACAAAUUUUGGACUAUUUUCUUUGUCCUUUUUUAUUGCUUAAUAUUUUACUUCCUCUCUGUCUCAGUCCCUUUCUCUAUCAUCAUAAUCCAAUGGUUGUUAAUUGUUAUCCUUGAGACUUGGUUGUUAAUUGUUAUCCUUGAGACUUGGUUGUUAAUUGUUAUCCUUGAGACUUGGUUGUUAAUUGUUAUCCUUGAGACUUGGUUGUUAAUUGUUAUCCUUGAGACUUGGUUGUUAAUUGUUAUCCUUGAGACUUGGUUGUUAAUUGUUAUCCUUGAGACUUGGUUGUUAAUUGUUAUCCUUGAGACUUGGUUGUUAAUUGUUAUCCUUGAGACUUGGUUGUUAAUUGUUAUCCUUGAGACUUGAAGUGGGUCCAUCCUAUCAAUUUCCUAGCCAAUAAUAAUAUGCCACGUGUAUGAACAUGUGAUGAUUAAACAUCAAAAUUCCCUAAUUGAGUCAUAAAGAGUGAGAAUGCCAUAAGAAAUUAUUGUAUUAUGUUAUGUUCUUACCAACUAAGGAAUCAAAGAAUCUUUGUUGGGUUUUAGCGUUGUAGAGAAACAAGAAGAACAAAAAAACACCUAUAAGGGUUAUACUGGUCUUUUAGAUUUUAUCAAUCAUAGAAAAAAAAGGUAUGUUGAAGAGCUAGCUACCUAAUCAAAUCUUUCUUUAGUUUUACUGUUUUCCCAUGUUGGGUUUACCUAAAUACUCAUUUUUUCCAUGUGGGGUUUACUUUUUGUGAAUGAAUAUGAGUUAAAGAUGGGAUUUUUAUUACACAGUGUUGAAAAAAGAUAGUGUUUUUAUCUUGGAGUGAGAAAAUGUGUAUUUAUCUUUGUUGCGUACUAUUUCCUCUUUUCUAAUUUGUUUGUAUUACUUUAAUUUGUCGAAGUUUAAGAAAAUAAAUAAGACGUUUGAAUCUUGUGUUAUUAAUGUUGUAGAACGUAUGAAAAUGUCAUUUAAUUUCUCUUACUUGAAAAAAAGCUGAGGUUUUUUCCCCUUUGAAAUUUCAGUUUGAGUCAUUGGUUGGUAACUACUGGACUUAACUUUUGCAAUCCCCUUUCUUAAUUUAGAUUGUUGAUCUUAUUUUUGGAUGUUAUGCAUAAUUUCUUUUGGUACAUUGGAAAGAAGAAUAAACUACAUAAUUUUUUUUAAAAGUUGUUCAUAACCAUUAUGCUUAAGUUCGCUAGGAGAAGAAACUUUAUGUUCUUAAUAGUACUAGUUUCUGGCAACGUGCGUUGCACGUUUAUCCCUUACUAUUGUUAUAUAAUUUAAAAAUGUGUUAUCAAAUAGAAAAUGCUUAAAUCAACAAUAUUAAUUUUACCAAUUACAUUUCAUGUAUUAAAUAAAAUACAUAAAAAGGGAUUGAGCAUUUGGCAUCAAACAUGUGAAAUUAAUUAAGAUAAUAUAGUCUCUUAACUCUGUGUCACUGUGUGUGCGUCUUUUUUAUGAAUUAAAUAUCAUUGAUAACCUUUUAUAGCCAUGAAUGGAUUAAAAAAAAUCAUGCAGGUUUAUUGACAAGAUUGCCUAUUUUAUUUUAAUGAGAAAUGGAGCGUGAAAUAUUUGUAUUAUUUAAGUAAAGUUCUAGAAUUAAAAGGCUAAUCAAAGAAUACAUGAAGAUACACUUUCAAAAUUUUACAAGAUUAAAAAGCAAUUACAUCCAAAAUAUAAAAGUGACAGAUAAAGAAUUAACAAACUGGACUUCAUACAUACAACUAUUCCAAAAGCUCAUAAUAAUAGCUAAAAGAUCACAACACCACAAUGAGUUCAUUAGAAAUGCAAAAGAAAUUAUAAAAAAACAAUAAUCUUCCUAAUGGAGAACCGAAAGAGAUAUGAGGACUUAGGCAUAUCUAAAAAGAAGUCUUCUCCCAUGUAUUCUAUUUACUCCUUUAUACCAUUUCUUCCUAUCUUUUUUGCCUAUCAUAUAUAGAUGCGAUAGUUUUUUUGAUUAUCCUCUUUUCAAGUUGAAUGACAUGAGUUUCUUUCAUUUUUCAAUGGUUAUCAUCCCGUUCUUAAAUAGUAGUGAAAAUGUCUGUUCAAAUUCCAUUUUCAGUUCUAAAUAAUAGUCUUUUAAUAUAUAGAUGGGAAGAUGAAAAAUACAAAUCAUAAUUAGACUAAGUAAGAGAAUUAACAUUACCACUAAUUACUACUCUGAACGUGAUGAAAUCUAGUCUAAUUUAAAUGGAUAAGAAGAUGAAAAAUAUAAAUCAUUGUAAUUAGUAAUAAAUAAGGCAAUUACAAACCAUCUCAUUAAUUAUUAAUUUGAUAUUAAUUCAUUCAUAUAUAAUAAUACACUUUUAAUACCUUAGUAAUAAAUCAAAUAAAUAAAAUCAGUAGCAUUAAUCGGGUAAAUGAGGGGUCUUUUCAUAUACCAGUAAUUAUUCUAGGCUAUACAUACAUGUACAAUUGAUAUUAUCUAAAAAUAUAUCUUUUCACAUUCCAAGCAUUUAAUUAUUUGCUUAGUCCUUUGAGUUUCUUCUGCUAAUAUCAUUUAUGGAUAAUGUCUAAUCUAUACUUCAUAUAAGUAGAGAAAAGUGUUAAAUCACUUGAUAAUUUUUCUCUUUCUUUGUCAGAAAUUUCCUUUAAUUCUUACUCCUAGAAUUCAGGCUUGAGAACGUUGGAAUAUAAAAUUUACUUUAAUUUUUUUUUUAACAGGCAGAUGAUUAAAACAAAAAACUGCACAUCUUUAGAAAAUGUGGAGCAUUAAUAUAGAAAUGCAAGUAAACCUAGAAAUAGGGCUGUUUAACUUCUUAUGUAAUCUCCCUAAAAUGUGUAAUUAAGUCUUCAAACUUUUAAAAUUUUACUAUAAACUCUUGAGGUAAUUUUAAUUUUACUAUUUACUAUUAAAUUAAUUAGAUGUUUGAUUAUUAACUCACCCUAGAACGUGUAUUUAGUCUUAGUUAAUUUAAAUUUUACUAUUUAUUAUUUAAUUAAUUAAAUGUUUGAUUUAGUGUAGGGGUAAAAUGGUAAUCUAACUUUUCACUUUUGAAGCUUCCCACUUAUAAUAAUANNNNNNNNNNNNNNNNNNNNNNNNNNNNNNNNNNNNNNNNNNNNNNNNNNNNNNNNNNNNNNNNNNNNNNNNNNNNNNNNNNNNNNNNNNNNNNNNNNNNNNNNNNNNNNNNNNNNNNNNNNNNNNNNNNNNNNNNNNNNNNNNNNNNNNNNNNNNNNNNNNNNNNNNNNNNNNNNNNNNNNNNNNNNNNNNNNNNNNNNNNNNNNNNNNNNNNNNNNNNNNNNNNNNNNNNNNNNNNNNNNNNNNNNNNNNNNNNNNNNNNNNNNNNNNNNNNNNNNNNNNNNNNNNNNNNNNNNNNNNNNNNNNNNNNNNNNNNNNNNNNNNNNNNNNNNNNNNNNNNNNNNNNNNNNNNNNNNNNNNNNNNNNNNNNNNNNNNNNNNNNNNNNNNNNNNNNNNNNNNNNNNNNNNNNNNNNNNNNNNNNNNNNNNNNNNNNNNNNNNNNNNNNNNNNNNNNNNNNNNNNNNNNNNNNNNNNNNNNNNNNNNNNNNNNNNNNNNNNNNNNNNNNNNNNNNNNNNNNNNNNNNNNNNNNNNNNNNNNNNNNNNNNNNNNNNNNNNNNNNNNNNNNNNNNNNNNNNNNNNNNNNNNNNNNNNNNNNNNNNNNNNNNNNNNNNNNNNNNNNNNNNNNNNNNNNNNNNNNNNNNNNNNNNNNNNNNNNNNNNNNNNNNNNNNNNNNNNNNNNNNNNNNNNNNNNNNNNNNNNNNNNNNNNNNNNNNNNNNNNNNNNNNNNNNNNNNNNNNNNNNNNNNNNNNNNNNNNNNNNNNNNNNNNNNNNNNNNNNNNNNNNNNNNNNNNNNNNNNNNNNNNNNNNNNNNNNNNNNNNNNNNNNNNNNNNNNNNNNNNNNNNNNNNNNNNNNNNNNNNNNNNNNNNNNNNNNNNNNNNNNNNNNNNNNNNNNNNNNNNNNNNNNNNNNNNNNNNNNNNNNNNNNNNNNNNNNNNNNNNNNNNNNNNNNNNNNNNNNNNNNNNNNNNNNNNNNNNNNNNNNNNNNNNNNNNNNNNNNNNNNNNNNNNNNNNNNNNNNNNNNNNNNNNNNNNNNNNNNNNNNNNNNNNNNNNNNNNNNNNNNNNNNNNNNNNNNNNNNNNNNNNNNNNNNNNNNNNNNNNNNNNNNNNNNNNNNNNNNNNNNNNNNNNNNNNNNNNNNNNNNNNNNNNNNNNNNNNNNNNNNNNNNNNNNNNNNNNNNNNNNNNNNNNNNNNNNNNNNNNNNNNNNNNNNNNNNNNNNNNNNNNNNNNNNNNNNNNNNNNNNNNNNNNNNNNNNNNNNNNNNNNNNNNNNNNNNNNNNNNNNNNNNNNNNNNNNAUAUUAUGGAAUUUGAGAAGUUAUUGAAAUUUUUAUAUGAUUUUAAAAAUAAUUUAAAUUGUUAGCUAUUGUUAAUUAUUGUAAUUUAUAGUUUCUUUUUCGUCAAUUUCAAACAAUAUAUGUUNNNNNNNNNNNNNNNNNNNNNNNNNNNNNNNNNNNNNNNNNNNNNNNNNNNNNNNNNNNNNNNNNNNNNNNNNNNNNNNNNNNNNNNNNNNNNNNNNNNNNNNNNNNNNNNNNNNNNNNNNNNNNNNNNNNNNNNNNNNNNNNNNNNNNNNNNNNNNNNNNNNNNNNNNNNNNNNNNNNNNNNNNNNNNNNNNNNNNNNNNNNNNNNNNNNNNNNNNNNNNNNNNNNNNNNNNNNNNNNNNNNNNNNNNNNNNNNNNNNNNNNNNNNNNNNNNNNNNNNNNNNNNNNNNNNNNNNNNNNNNNNNNNNNNNNNNNNNNNNNNNNNNNNNNNNNNNNNNNNNNNNNNNNNNNNNNNNNNNNNNNNNNNNNNNNNNNNNNNNNNNNNNNNNNNNNNNNNNNNNNNNNNNNNNNNNNNNNNNNNNNNNNNNNNNNNNNNNNNNNNNNNNNNNNNNNNNNNNNNNNNNNNNNNNNNNNNNNNNNNNNNNNNNNUGGUGGGGCCCACUUAUAUAUUUUAUAAAUAUAUUGGACAUUAAUAGUGAUCUUAUUGGAACAUUGGUAGUCAUUCCUAGACUCUUCUAUAAUAUAGUAAUAUGAUAUGAUAUAUGAUUACAGGGCCUCUUCAUAAUUGUGAUUCUCCAUAAACAAGUAGUCUCUGGAUAUACAUAUUAAUGAGUAUAUAAAGUGACACCUGAACUUGUUUCGAAUUUUCAAAAAUAUACCUUAAUUAUGCGGGCAUCCUAUUACCCACUAAACAAUCUUGAACUGAUAUUAUUACAUCAUUUUUUUGUCCACUUCACAUAGAGAGUGUGUGCACUCUCUCAAAGAGAGUGAACAACCUAAAAUAACUAAUAUAAUUUUAUUUUUACAAGUAUUUUAUUAUAAAAUAUGUUUUCUUAUUUUUCUUAUUAUUUUAACUUUUUUCCUUUUUAUUUUUUCUCUUUCUUUCUUCUUCAAAAAUUCAUUGUCAUUUUCAUUGAAACUUCUCACUUUCAAUGUCACCAUUUUUACCACAACUUCACCUUUAUUUUUUUUUACUACUAUUAGUUUUACUCUCUUUAAUUUUAAAACUUUAUCUAAAUAUUUUCUUACAUUUCGAACAAUUUGAUAACCCAUUAGAUUUCAAGAUGAUUAGGAAAUAUCAUAUAAUUUUUUUCAUCCAAUUUCAAUUAAGUUCUUUCAAUUUUGGGAAAUUCAUUGAUUCUUUUAAAAGUUAUAUGAAAAUGAGUAAUUGAUGAUACCUUCAAAAUUUUAAAUUUUCUUAGAAAAAUAAUUAGUUUUGUUAUCAAUAAUUCAAUAAAGUCUAGAAAAUAGUAUGAUUUUUUUUAAUAAAAAUAAUAAUAAAAUAAAGAAUUUGAUUGGAGAAGAAGAAGAAAAAAAAAGAAAAAAAUGGAAGAGAAUUCAACUUGAUGUUGGGGGUGGGGUGAGGGUGAGAAGUGAAGAAAAAGAAAGAAAAUGGAUGAAUGAAUCACUUGAAAGUGUGUGUGGGGGGGGGGGGUUGGGGUGAAAGAUGAAGUGAAAUUUUAGAUGAAAUCAAAAUUAAAAUAAGUCACAAGUAAGAGAGAGAGAGAGAAAAGGUAAAGAAAAAACUUAAAAUGAAUUUUUAAAAAAAAUUAAAUUAACACGUGUCAUGUAAUGAUUGGUGUGUGAACACACUUGCUUUUUAAAAUCUGAGAUUGAUCGAAAAAUGAUAUAAUAAUAUAUGUUCAAAAUUGUUUAAUAGGGUAAUAAGACGGUUGCAAAAUUAAGAUAUCUUUUUGAAAAUUCGGAACAACUUCAAUAGUGAAUUUAUGUCUUUUUUUCUUUUUAAAAAUUGCAUAAAUACAAUAUAACAAUGCUUUUGACUUAACUAGAUACUUCAUUUGUCUCACAUAAAAGAAACAAGGAACUUUUGUGACACCUUGGAUAUCCACACAUAAUGGAUCCAAGAAUGUACAUUGCUGCAAUGGAAGGGAGUAUGGAAGAUGGUGAUUUUUCACUUGUUGAUCAUCUGAAAAGGGAGGAAGAAAAUGGAUACCAAGUCACUCCAAAGGGAAAUACAAUCCUCCAUGUGGCAGUUCACUUUGGCCAACGAGGUUUCGUGGGAGAAGUCCUUAAGAUUACCCCGGCUUUAUUAUGCUAUAAGAAUAAGAAAAAUGAAACUGCGCUUCACAUUGCAGCUAAUUUAGGACAAAGUGAAGUGGUGAGUGAACUACUUAGCAUAGAAGGAAAGGAGACACUUGUGAGGAUGACGGAUGACAUUGGAGAUACGGCCUUGCACAAGGCCAUUAGAAGUGGACACAUUGACAUUGUCAGGAUGUUGGUGAAAGUAUUACUAGAUCCUGAACACGACUUUCCAGCCAAUAAGGCUGGGGAGACACCACUUUAUUUGGCUGCAGAGUCUGGUUUUCAUGAUGCUUUGAUUGAAAUCUUGAACGUUUGCAAGGAACCAACUUAUGUUGCAGGUCCAUCCAAUCGAACACCUCUACAUGCAGCCGUAAUUCAAGAACACACGGGUGAGUACCUCCUGGAUGAUUUCAUCAUAUAUAAUAUGGAAAAUGAUUAAAUUUGUCCCUCUACUAAUAAAAAGAAGCUAUAUUUACCUUUGGUUAAAUUUAUUUCAAUAAAUAUACUGCUACAGUCAUACUUUAUGAUCUUGUUGAACGGAAAAAUCAUCCAUUUAUCAUCAUCAUAUAUAAUAUUUGACAUAUAUAUCCAGAAUGCGUGAGAUCACUAUGGCAAUGGAAUAAACCUUUAUGCGAAGAACUUGAUAGAUGGGGUUGGAAUUCACUACACUAUGCUGUUAAACAAGGAUUGAAAGAAAUAGUUUCCGAUAUGUUAGGAUGGAAGAAAUCUUUAGCCUACCUUCCGGCUGGCAGUGAAAAUAACUGGACGACAACGUUUCACAUUGCAGCUAGUGAAGGUGAUGUGUUGAUGAUAGGUGAGUUAUUAAACCACUGCCCAGAUUGUUGGGACAUGCUUAAUAGCAAUAGUCAAAAUGCACUUCAUGUUGCCUUAUUGAACGGUCACCAAAUGUUCGUCAUUGUCUUCUAUAUGAUUGGAUUUUGGAAUAGCCUUGUUGAUGAGGAAGAUAAUGAAGGCAAUACUCCACUCCAUUUGCUUGCUGCCUCUGGGGACAAUGUGCCGCAAAUGAUAUUAGACCAUCCUAGAGCAAAGAAGAUGGCAUUUAACAAACAAAAUCAGACUCCACUUGACAUAGCAUUGUCUCGCACAUGGACAACAAAGAAGGUACUCCCUCUUGUCCGUGACGGUUUUCCCUCACUUCUUUGGACUGACUCAGUCCGUCGGUUUUUUUAAAAUUAACCAUGUAAAUAAGAUUAGCAAAAUUUACAGAAUCAAAGGUAACCAUAGCCUGAUAAAGGGUUCGAUCCAAUUUGGACACCCAUUUAGGAGGUGCCAAACAGACCCAUCAUUGAUUUGAGAUCUUGAUUAAGUGAAUACCUAGUCUUUGCAAUUAAUGCUAGGCAUAAUGAGUAUAAGCACCUCAAAAAAAUCUCUUUUCGUCAUAUGAACUUUAAGGUGUAUGAAGUUUCAUAUUUGAUUUUUUAAGCAGAACAAUAGGACAUAUGGCAACCUAAGUGGAAUUAAUGCUCCUAAGAGAGAGUUUUGGCACAUUGAAGUGCUAUAAACCUAGAAGUCACCAGUAUCUUUAGCCUAAACAUACUGGCAUCUACAAAAGUAGGAGAAUCACGGGGGCUCGUAGUGACAAGAAGAGUGUUUUUUGGCUGGUCUUUGAGAGACGGGAGCUGCAUCUUAUCCAUUCAAAGGGGGCCAAUAGCCUCCUUAGGAAGGUAGGAAAGUUUUAUCUUCUUGAAGGGUGGUGGCAUGCUUCGCAAGAGCAUCCUCAAUUCCAUUGCUUUUUCUAUAAUAAUGACUAAUGCUGACAUCUUCUGUUGAAUUUUGUGUCGAAUAUCAUGCAAUCUUGAUGGGUGGUUUCAAUUUGGUUGGUUUUUGCACUGCUUUAGUAGUGAUCUUUAUUGAGUAAGGGUGUUUUGUCAUGAUUCCUUCAUUUCUGUUAUUAAACUGCUUUGAUCCGUUUUUCAUUGAGUCGGGGGUCUAUCGGAAACAACAUUUCUACCUCCAUGGUAGGGAUAAGGUCUGAAUACACCUACCUCCGGAGUAGGGAUUACAUUGAGUAUAUUCUUCUUGUUGUUGUUGGUAAAGAUAAAAACUAGAGUAACAAUGAAUCAUAUCUUGUGUUUUCUAAAAUGACAGUCUAUCUAUUUUUAGUAAGAACGAAAAUAAAAUGAACCGAAGGAUGCAGUUAUUAAUUCCACUUUUUCUCAAGGACUAUUAUAUUAUACACUAUAUCUUUCACCAGUUAGCUUAUCAAUUUUAUUACUACAUGUCACAUAUAUUAGGAGAAAUUGGUAGCCGAUAUGUGCAGCAUUAGCGGAGGAUUGGGACAACGUGACUUCAAGGUAAAACGGAAAAUAGAAACAAUCGGGAACAUACAACAGAUGAGGAAAAAGGAGGAUGAUGAAGCCAAAGCUAAGAAAGAAAAAUUAGAAAUCGAAAAAAUUAUGAAGUCAACUCAAAUACAAGUAGUUGUAGCUACUCUAAUAAUGACAGUCACGUUCGCAGCUGGUUUCACAUUACCAGGAGGUUUAUACAGCGAUGACAGUCCUAAUAAAGGGAUGGUGAUUCUAUUAAAGAGAGCAACGUUCCGUGCAUUUGUUAUUUCCGAUGUCCUGGCAUUUUCAUGUUCAGCUGGUGCUAUAUUCAUCUAUUUCUUCCUGGCAGAUAUGGAGGUAGACAACGAUGAACCUAAACGGGACUGGUUCAGAAUGUUUAAGAGGAGCUAUAAUAUAGCAUGGACUUCGCAACUUUUGGCAAUGGGUACAGUUGUAGUUGCAUUUGUAACUGGUAUGUAUGCUACUUUAGAAAAUUCACUUGCUCUUGCUGUUAGUGUUUGUGUCAUUGGUUGUGUCUCUUUGCUUAUGUACUUUUCGUAUAUCAUUUGGGUAUAAUCAGGAGAGAUGUGCUUACUAGUAGUAUUCGAACAACGUACAUAACCUUAAUUUGAGGUGAUCAGGUGUGCUUAUUAUUCGAGCAACUCUCUGUUGUCUAAUAUAGCUAGGAGAUCAAACUUAAUACUAUUUUUUUCUUCAUGUAUAGAGACAUGUGAUUGUGAAUGAUACUAUUUGUUCUAGCAUGAUUUUCUUGAAUUAUUUUUCCCAUUCCUCUUGUUUUUGUUUCGAAAUAAAGUAAAUUGAUUUGUGAUUUAUCAACACGUCUAUAUUUAUUCAACAAGAUCCAAUAAUUAGCUUAAUAUGUAGCCAUGUGUUUGUCUAAAAAAGUGUACCAUGAGUCUAUUUACUUUAGUGUAUAUAUUGUACUAUUGUAGGUAGAACUUUAAGAUUCUUGCGUGAAUAAGUAAAGCAUGAUGAAAUCUUCAAGUAAUAUAGAUCUAUCCCCUUCUCGGGCCGUGUAAUUUUACAUGAUAUCAGAGCUCUAAACAUAGAAGCUACGUUGUACAAAUUUCUAUCCAAAAACAAUGGCCUCUAGUUCCCUUUAACCCUCCUUGUCUCUUUUAGCCUCUGCCCUGCCUCAUCUCAUGGUUGUUUGUCCUGUCAUCUCUAGGGCCCUAUUGUCACAAAUUAUGACGUAAGUUUAAUGACUUGGGUCGAUCUUAAGCAAACCACACUCCAAAGUGAAAUGGAAGUCAUCAACCUAGGCCAUGGCCUUACUGAUCACUCACCAACCUAAAUUAUUUAUGUAAUGUGAUAAAUCAUUUAUCUUUUGUUAUUUUUUAAAAAGGCCAGUCAAGGUGGAAAUUAAUACAUUCAGCCACUUUACCUUAGGUUUUAAGCCAAAAAAAAAAUAUAAAAAAUUAAAACCCAAUUGAUCAUUUUAACCAAAAAUCACCUGUAUAUAUAAGAUAAAUUUUCUGUAUUUAAUUUUGAACCCCUCACAAACAAGAAGUAAAGAGUGGGUGGUAGAUCUCUUUAAUAAUUGACUCUCACAUUUUGUGGCUCAAAUCCCAUUGUGAACACUGAACAUUAUAUUUUUAGUUUCUCUUCAUUUAAUUUUGGGAACAAUCUUUCACGUAUUUUUUAUUAUUAUAAAAAAAAGUGCUAAAAUAAUAUAUUUAAACCCAAAAAAAUCGAAGGAUCCAUUCCCAAAGGCUAAAAAUCACUUUUCAUCUUUCCAAAUCCCUAAAUCACGUCAUUAGUUCUUCCCCCAAGACUCAAAAGCCAAAUAUAAAAUCACUUUUCAAGUCUCUUGUAACAGAACUAUUUUUUUUAUAAACUACUCUCUCUGUCCAACAAUAGUUGUCCACUAUUGAUUUGACACACCUCUUAAAAAACUAUAAAUGGAAGAAUAAUUUUAUUAUAUCACCAUUUUGAAAAAUGUAAUAUCAAAUGACUAUAAUUAAUGAUAAGGAUAAAUUAGGAACUAUAAGUGUAAAAUUGUCCAUUGAUUUAAUAAAGUGGACAAGUAUUGUUGGACAUCCCAAAAUAGUAUAGUGGACAACUAUUGUUGGACGGAGUACUACUUUCUUGGAUUUGUCUUUUGUUGGCUUAUCCGCACAUUUAUAUUUUUAUUAUUUUUCAAACCCCUUGAAUGAAAAUCUUGGAUCCGUCACUAGCCCACCCAAUAUUUGCCUGGUAAGCUCCUUUAUACAUUGAUAAACACAAGGGCUAAAAAGGUCCAAAUUGACAAGUUAAAAUCAAUUAAAUUCAUAUAACUACAAGGUUCGAAUUCGAAUUUUGCUGGUAGCAUCUAAUUAAUUAUAUUACAUAUGUUCAUUAUCAACUCGUCCCAUAUUAACAAGUCCUCUUCAUUUGUCAAGAAAAUCUACGUAGUUGUUUGUUUUUAUUCAGACAUGAAUAAAAUUCAUCUUGGUGACUUCAAGCAAAUACUUAUAAUCUCUUAUAACGAUUCAUUCUUUUACGUGAAAAUGAUCUUUUAUGAUCAAAUACAAAUUGAAUAGAAAAAAAACAAUCUUUUUAAGAUUUUUUAUGUAUAAAAAAAAUAUAUCGUAAAAAAAGACUUUGAAACUAAAAAUAAAUUUGCACGAUUAUCCUUGUCCUCUUGAUUACUUUGAUGUUUUUACUUCUCUAGUUCACUCCCUUUCUCUAUCAUCAUACUCCGACGGCUGUUAACUUCGAGACUUGAAGUGGGUCCACCACAAAAAUAAAUAUCUUUUGCUUACAUAACUGAACACACGCACACAAAAAACAUUUUUCAUCAUAACGAAUACAUACUUUAUGCUACUAGGUUAAAGAUUCGAUUUUUUUCAUUUAGGUUUUACUUUUUUUUUUUUUGUAUUAAUAUGGGUUAGGGAUUCGAUUUUGAGUAUAUGGUGUCGAUAAAUAUUGUGUUUUUUUUGUUGGGAGUAAGAAAAUGUUUAUAUUUAUUUGUGUUGUGUUGGGUUAGGCAUUUGACCGUGAAAAUAAAAAUUUAAUUUAUUUUACUUAGAAUUUUUAAAGUUAGAAUUGGAAUAGUGUUUGCCAUAAUAUUUGAAUUUUUUUUUGAAUUUGAAUGUGUUUUUCUAUAAGGAAAAAUUCUUUUGGUCAGAAAAUUUGGUCAGAAUGGUAAAAUAACAUAUUUCACACUAUGUUUGUGGAAAAACUUUUUGGCCAGAAUAUUUGGCUAGAAUUUGGCCAGAAUGAUAUUUUAUAUAUGUUAUUUUAUCUUUUAAAAUAUUUUUAUCAUUUUAAAUUUAAUACCUUUUAACUAAAAAAUGGAAAAAAGAUCAGUUUAUUUUAAAAUAAAAAAAAUAUUAUAGAUUUUUUAAUUUUUUGGCCAAAUUUUUUGGCUAUUUAGCAUUUCCCUGUGUUUUUUUUACCUUUUAAAACAUUUUUAUGAUUUCUUUUCACAGUUUUCUAUGGUGGGAUUAUGCAUAUACAAAGAAUUCAGGAAUUUAAUGGGGGGACAUUUGCAAUAUUGACGACACACAUUUAUUUGAUUGGUGGUUGUAGUUGAUAUUCUUUAAUUUGGUUGGUAGAAAAAAUAAAUGAGAUGCUUUUGGUAAAAAAUAAGAAGUUGAGGUAAUAUUAAUGACACGUUUUUUUCGUUGAUAAAAGUGUCGAGAAAAAAUUAUUGUGUUUUGUUAAGCGUUUGAAUAUGAAAAUAAAAAAUAUUUUACUUUAUUUAGAAUUUUUAAAGUUAGAGUUGAAAUUAUGUUUGGCUAUAAUAUUUGAAUGUGCGUUACUAUAAAUAAAUAUUUUUUUCACAGUUUUCUAUUGUGGGAUUAUGCAUAUACAAAGAAUUCAAGAAUUUGAUGGAGGGACAUUUGCAAUAUUAAUGACACACAUUUAUUUGGUCGGUGGUUGUAGUUGAUAUUCUUUAAUUAGGUUGGUGGAAAAAAUAAAUGAGAUGCUUUUGGUAAAAAGGUAAAAAGUUGAGGUAAUAUUAAUGACACAUUUUUUUUUGGUGGUUGUAGUUGAUAAAAUUGUUGAGAAAAAAUUAUUGAGUUUUAAACUUUUAGAGAAACAAGAAGUAAAAAAUAACCUACAAGGGUCAAAUUGCUCUUUUAGAUAUUAUUAAUCAAAGAGAAAAGGUUAUUUUGAAAACGAAUUUCACGAUUGAUAUUUUAUAUUAAUUUCGUCCUCACACUCAUUCUAAUACAUCUCUCUUUCACUCUUACUCUAGUAGCCCAGAUCGUCACAGCACCCCCCCCCCCCCCCCCCCCCCCCCCCCCGCCCAACACACACACACACACAUUCAUCUGUCAUAGUAUUUAAUUAAUUUAUAUUCAAAUAUAAUUUUGCUUACGUGACUGAACACACAAAAAAAAACAUUUUUCAUCAUAGUGAAUACAUCCUAAAUGCUACUUUCUUUGUUCCUAUUUACUUGUCUAUUUUUGAUUUUACACAUCUAUUAAGAAAAAUAAUAAUUGACAUGAUAAAUUUAUCAUUUUACUCUUAUUAGUUGACAGACCAAAAUUAAUUUAUUCAUUACUGAGGUCUUACCUUUUUCAAAAAUAUCAAUUUUCUAAAUAAAUUGAGGAUAUAAUAGAUAAUUUUUUUUUUUUCUUGAUUUGUUAAAAAUAACAAGUCAAAAAGGAUAAAUAAAAAAUUAUAAUUAGACAAAUAAAAAGCAACAGAGAAAGUACUAGGCUAAAGAUUCGAUGUUUUCCAUCUAAAUUUUACUUUUUGUGUAUGAAUAUGGGCUAAAGAUUCAUGAUGGAAAUUAAUGUAUUCAGUCACUUUACCUUAUUUUUUAAGCUAAAAAUAAAAAAAAUAUUUUUUAAGCAAAAAAUAAAAAAUAUUUUUUAAAUCAAAAGUAAAAAAAAUAUUAAACCCAAUUCAUUUUCACCAAAAAUCACUUGCCCACCCAAUAUUACCAAAAAUCACUUGCCCACCCAAUAUUUGACUGUAAGCUCCUUUGUACAUUGAUAAACACAAGGGCUAAAGAGGUCCAAAAUGACAAGUUAAAUUCAUUUAACUACGAGGUUCGAAUUCGAAUUUUGUUGGUAACAUGUAAUCAAUUAUAUUACAUGCUCAUUAUCACCUCGUUUCAUAUCAACAAGUCCUCUUUAUUUGUCAGAAAAUCUACAUAUUUAUUUGUUUUUCUUCAGAUAUAAACGAAAUUCAUUUUGGUGGCUUCAAGCAAAUACUUACAUCUCUUAUAGUGUGUGUUUGGUAUGAAGGAAAAUGUUUUCCAUGUAAAAUGUUUUCUUGGAAAACAAGUUAAUUUUUGACUUAUUUUUUCAUGUUUGGUUGGUGAGUAAAAAAUAUUUUUCGGAAAUUUUUUUUAGUAUUUGAUUUAUGAAUGAAAAAUAUUUUUGAGAAAUAUCUUUUAUUAUUUUUAAUAGAGUAGAAAAUAAUUUUUGAAAUUGAAAAUAUUUUUUAAAAACAAACUUAAAUUUUUUUUGGGGAUGGGGGUGGAGGUGGGGGAGUUGAGGGUAGGGAUAAAAAAUUGAAAUUUUGAAGUUGGAAAUAUUUUUUAAAAACAAACUUAAAUUAUUUUUUAUUGAGGGGGCGGGGCUGUUAAUAUUCAUUUUGAUAUUUUGCACAGUUUAGAAAUUCAUUCAAAUAUAGAUAAGUUUUCUUACACGAUUAUUUUAUUAACUAGUGAUUUCGAUCCAUAAUUUUUAGAUAAUGAUAUUGUACAAUAAAUGAUUUUUAAUUUUCUAUUUAAUCUAUUUCUUAGUUUUUAAGUGGGGUGGAUAAUAUUUUUGGCAUUGAGGAAAAAUAUUUUAAAAAUAGAUAGAAACCCUAAUCUUUGGCUUCUCUCAAACAACUUUCCAGCCGCCACCCUCAAAAAACCCCCAAACCACCAGAUCUAACAAACAACAAUCCAAAUUCCACCCGAUUCUCUGAUCUCCGGCAAGCUUGAACACCGACCCAGAAAACCCAACCAAAAGCCACCACAAACCACCAAAGAUCAGCCAACCGAAACCCCAUCCCAUUACUCCAUUUUCUCAGACCCCUCACCCUCUUGUUUUCUACCUCACGCAUAGCUACUCAACCAGCGAGCCUUCGAGUUCGAAGCUCGCAACCAGACCCCUAAACGACCCCAUCUAUUUUCCGUUUUCCGGCUGGCUCCAAGCCAAAACAACACUGCUGCGACCAGCAGCUUGUACCAGACCCCUUCCCCUUUUGAUUUUUUGUUUGUUUUGCAGUGAACCAGAAGCUCCAACAGCGGUGGACAACAACCAAGCUCCGACGACAGCGAACCCAAGCCAGACCCAGCAUCAACGGAUCUCAAAACCACAACCAGCUCUAAUCUUCGCUGCCACCUGCCAUCUCCUAUCACCCUUCUUCCCUCCGUUUUGCGGUAAACCUUAUCUUCUCUCAUCAAUGUUGAUUUUUGCACUGUAUUGUUUUGUUUUGGUUCUCGAUUCAACAAUUUUAGUAUUGUUUUGUUGAGAUUUGAACUCCAUCCUCUCUGAUAAUUGUUGUUGUUGCUUGGACAUUGAUUAUUGAAAAGUUAUUAGUGAUGUUUCUUUUGUUUGUGUGCAAAAUUAAUUUAGUCUUCUUUUAAUGUUGCUAUAAGGAAUUAUGUGAAGAGAUAAGAUAGUCUUUGAUGCCAUAUAUUUUUCACUGUUACCGUUUUAAGUAGUUUUUCAAUUAAGUAUUAUUAUUAUUAUAUAUGUUUGUUCCAAUUCUAUCAUCACUAAUUAAUGUUUGGUCACUUUUGCAUGCUUUUUUUUUAAAAGUUAAAAUAAAAUAAAAUAAAAUUAAUUAUAUAGUUUUCUAUGAAUUUCCAGCAGCCAUGAAUUUUUAACAUUCUAUUUAUUUAAUUGCAUAUAUUAUGUGUUUAAUUGUUUUAAUAUUUAGUUGACGGCUUGAUAUUGGUUGUUUAACUUGGUGCAUUUAUGAUGUCUAUUGUAGUUUAUAAUAAUUUUCAUCUCGUCCGUCACUUAAUUUUGUAUAACUCCAUCUUCGUAUUCAUGAAUUAUUUUACUUUUCAUUAUUGUUGGUGUUAAAUUGAUUCUUGUUAUUAUGUUGGCAAUUUGCUGCUGUUCAAGUUUUAGUUUGCUUAUUAUUUUAUUGUUUGUUUUUGUCUAAUUUUCAUUAUUAGUCUUAUAAAUUGUUAUCCUGUUAAAAUUGACCAAUGAGAAAAUCUCUUCGUUGAUUUUUGAGGCCUCUUCAUUUUAAAAGACGAAAAUUUAGUUAAGUUCAUAUACUUUGUUUAUUAUUGGCCGAUGAAGAAAUUUUCGUCGAUUUUCAAGGCUUUCCAUGUUAAUAAGAUAUGUUUUUAUUUUGAUUUAUUAUUCAAUUCAUUUAUUUUUUAUUUGUAUUUAUCUAUCACUAACACUUUUAUUAAGUGUCUUUACAGGUACUCGGAGUUGCUUCCCAUUGAAGCUAUUCGAACAAUAUUUUUGAUUCAUUAUUGUGUAUUAUUGACGAUAGGUAAAUUUAAGCCGUUUCUUAUAUAGUUUUAUUUUAUUACUUGUGUAUAUUGUAUGUUUGUUUUUAUCUUUUCCUCAAUUUGAAAAAAAUGAACUCAAUCGGAACCCAUAAUUGUGGAUUUCGAAGUAUGCCUAUCACCUUUUUUUCGAAAUAACUUGAACUUCUUAUCUAGAAUUUUGAUUUUGUAGAUCACUUAAUGGUUUCCUAGUUUUUUUCUAAAAUUAGGUGGCGAUUUUUUUAAAAUUCGUUUAUUUUUAAAAAAUUUUUAAAAUUGAAUCAAUUGUUUAUUUUUUGAGUCACCGCGACGUUUCGCUCUAUUUGAAUAGAGUAUGGAUGUAAAUAGAGAGUUUUGAAAAAUGCUUUUCUUAAGUUUUGAAGGGAAGUCAUUUUUCUUGAAUUUGAGGAAAAUGAGUUGAUUUCGAAUACAUUUAACCCAACCAAACAUGAGAAAAUUGAAAAAUGUUUUUCGAAAAAUAUUUUCCUUCAUACCAAACACACCCAUAAUGUCCCCUUCUUUUUACGGAAACAUAAUCUUUUAUGAUCAAUUACAAAUUGAAUAAUAAUAAUUAUAUGUUUUAAAGAUUUUUUAUGUAUAAAAAUAAAGAUAUGCCGUAAAAAAGGACAGAGAACUAAAAGUAAGUUUGAACGAUUUUCCUUGUCCUCUUGAUUACUUUGAUUUUUUUUGCUUCUUCUCUGGUUCACUCCCUUUCUCUAUCAUCAUAAUCCAAUGGUUGUUAUUCUCUUGGUUCCUAUUUAGUUGUACCAUUUUAAGUUUUGCGUCUCUUAAGAUACUAUGUAAGUUAACCAUUGUAUUCCCUUGAAAUGAAUUAAUUUAUUUUGAUUAAUUAAAUUAAUCAAUGAAUAUGAAUUAAUCAUUUUGUUUUUCUAUAUUGGUCAUAUUCAUAUUUAUAAAGCUAAUAACUUUCCAAGGUAAAAUAGAAAAAAUAAUGUCAUUUAUGUAUUAGUUUUGUGAAAUGGCAAAUACUCUCUCUGUUCACUUUUAUUUGUCACUUAUUCCUAAAAUAAAUGUUUAUUUUUACUUGUCACUUUUGACAUAUUAAGAAAAGACAAUAAUUUUUUUCAAUGUUUUAUACUCAAUGUUAAAUACUUAGUAUUUUCCAAGACAUCAUUUAAUAAGGGAUAGUUUGGUAAAAUACUUAUAUCAACAAUUUUUUUCUUAAUGUUUGUGUUAACGGAUGAAGUAUUAAAAAAUAUCUAUUUUUAAUAAAUAGGACCGAAAGGAGUAUCUUCGAGACUUUGAAGUGGGUACACCAAAUUUGCCUGGAGUUAUAAAAGUGUAGAGAAAAACUUAUUGGGUUUAUUUAAACUUGUAGAGAAACAAGGAGGAGGAAAAAAGACCUAUAAGGGUCAAACUGCUCUUUUAGAUAUUAUCGAUCAAGGAAAAAAGGUAAUGUUGAAGACCUAAUCAAAUCUUUCUUUGGUCUUACAGUUUUCCCAUGUUUUUUUUUACCCAAGUGUGUGUAAUGUAUGGAGGAAAAAUAUUUUUCAAAAAAUAUUAGCUAAUUUUCCUAUGUUUAAAUUUAUAAAAAAAGAGUUUUUUAAAAAUGAGUAAAAUAAUAUUUUUAGUGGAUUCAGGGGAAACAAGUUCCACGAUUGAUAUUUUAUAUUAAUUUUAUCAUAACACUCAUUCUAAUACAUCUAUUCUUCACUCUUACUCCCCCACACCCCUAUACACACAUUCGUCAAUCAUAGUAUUUUUUUAAUUGAUAUUUUUUAAUUUGGUUGGUGGAAAAAAUAAAUGAGAUGCUUUUGGUAAAAAAAAAAAAAAAAAAAAAGUUGAGGUAAUUUUUAAAAAUAAAAUGAUAGUAAAAAGUUAGGUGUUUGCAAAAUGGCCAAACAAGGAUUUUGGAAUAAAGUGAAUAAUAUUCAUGAUCAAAUGGGUAUUAUUUUUGAAUCUGAUUUCAAAUUAAAGAUGUGUAGAAUAAAUCUUCUUUAAUCUUAUAAUUUUAAACGUAUCUGAGUAAAAAAAAAAUUCCUUUUAAAUGUACUAAGAAAGAAUAUAAGAAAGAUUAAUUGAAACAGAGGGAGUUUUCCCCUUUGAAUUUUAAGUUUGAGUUAUUGGUUGGUAAAUACUUGACUUUACUUUUGCAAUUCCCUUUCUUGAUUCAGAUCGGAGAGAAAAAUAAACUAAAUAAAAAAAUUGAAAUCGUUCAUAGGAAAUAUCACUUGAGAGAAAAAAACUUAAGUAGUAUCUAGAUACGCGCUUUUGCACAUGUACCUAAUCGUAUUAAUUAAUGAGUACAUAUAAAUUUUUAAAAAUUACAUAAAUAUAUAUUAUAACAAUGCUUUUGACUUAAUUAGAUAUUUUCUCUAUCUCAAUUUAUGUGGUAAUGUUUGACUGAGCACAAAGUUUAAGAAAUAAGGAAAGAUUUUUGUGAUGCAGUUGGAUCACACAUUAUGGAUCCAGACAUGUACAAUGCUGCAAUGAAAGGCAAAAUGGUAUAUGGAAAAUUUUCACUUGCUGAUCUGAGAAGAGUGGAAAAUAGAUACCAAGUCACUCCAAACGGAAACACAAUCCUCCAUGUGGCAGCUCUCUUUGGCCAACAGAAUUUUGUGGGAAAAGUCCUUCAGAUUAGCACAGCAUUAUUAUGUUAUAAAAAUAUGAAAAAUGAAACUGCGCUUCACAUUGCAGCUGAUUUAGGACAAAGUGAAGUGGUGAGAAAACUACUUAGCUUUGAAGGAGUGGAGACACUUGUGAGGAUGACGGAUGACAUUGGAGAUACGGCCUUGCACAAGGCCGUGAGAAGUGGACACGUUGACAUUGUCAGGAGUUUGAUGGAUUUAUUACAAAAUCCUGCACACGACUUCCCGGCCAAUAAGGCUGGGGAGACACCACUUUAUCUGGCCGCGGAGUCUGGUUUUCAUGAUGCUUUGAUUGAAAUCUUGAACGUUUGCAAGGAACCAACUUAUGUUACAGGUCCACUCAAUCGAACACCUCUACAUGCAGCCGUAUUUCAAGAACACACAGGUCAGUACGUUAUUUAUCCUUAAGAAUUUAAGUCCCAUAUAUAUUUGCUGUAUGAGUUUUGUGUUAGAAUUCCCCAAGAUUUUGUAUUUACAAAGUCAACCCAUUUCCAAAUUUAGCAAUAACUUGAAUUUCCUACAAGAACAAGGGUGUGAAUAUGUGAUUUUCUUCUGAAGCCGUUAGAAAAAUUAAAAUUGCUGACUUAUGAGCGAUUUUGUCCAAAAAAAAAUUCCUAUUUUUUUAAGAAGAGGUAGCGAUUUAAAAAAUAAAAAUAAAAUCGCUGCUAUGACAGCAUUUUUAUAAAAAAAAAUAUUUUGAAAAUUAAAAUAUCUCUCCAAAGGUAAAUUUUUCUUUUAUUUUUUUACUGAAAUCGUUGCCUUUUAAAUUAUUUUUUUUUACUGAAAUUUGGCAGCGAUUUUUAAGAAUUUUUUUUUCUAAAAUCGCUACUUUGGAGUGAUUUUCGAUUUUUUGUUUAACGGAGUAACGGCGUCAGAAAAAAAUCGCUAUGUCGGGAGCAAUUUUUCUCUUUUGAUUAAAAAAAGUUGAUGUGGGUCUUUUGAAAUUUUUGGCAAUUUUUUUUGCCCUUUAGGCUCCGUACUCGUGAAUAUGUUAUAUGAAGAGAUCAAGCUGAAAAGUAAUCGGUGUUAGUCAAAUCCUGAUAAAAUUUGUGUAUAUAUGUUAGAAUGAAAAAGACAAUAUUAUUUUUUUAAUCAAAAGCCAUCUUUAGGGUGGGGGGUUAGGCAUGAGCCCUACCUUGUAUAUUGAAUAAAUUAGGAGGACAUAACAAAAUACAUGAGCAAGAGAGAUAUGAUGUCUAACCUCUCCAAAAAGAUUAGAAUGUUAUAGACAUGUCCAUAAUUAUGUAGUUUAAUAUCAACAUCUUGCUAUUGGCAUGAAGUUUAAAUUUACAGGGGAAAUUCAAAUAUAUACCAACAAAAGGGAUCCCCUCUUGAAUAUUCUUUAGGCUAUGAAUUAAAAAGCCAAGAGAAAUUAGCUUAAAACACAUGCAUCAUCAUGAAAAAUCUCAUGGUUCUUUUUUUCCCUCACUUGGAAAGCUAGAAAUUUUCUGUUUGUCCAUGUUUAGAAAGCCUCGCACUAGUUGAGGGAUGUUGUCGCUGGAUAGAUAUACCCACGUGCUUUGUAAGCUCAAGUUAGCUAGCUUGUAUGCAACCUGAUUUGCUUCCCUAUAACAAUGGUUAAUAUACCAAUCUAUACCUUGAAUGAUUAAAGGCGCUAACCGCCAAGAAAUUUUAUAGACGUCUUUAAUGCAAGAUAGUAGCAUUAAAGAGUCAGUUUCCAGUUGAGGUCGAGAAACUCCAUUAAGCUUGCACCAAUGAACGCCAUAUAAUAGUGCCUUUGUCUCUGCCCCCAUAAAUUGUACAAAGAAUGCUAUAAUGAGUUUGCCUUCCCAUUUAUGACUAUGCCUCCACAACCACAUUUAUCCGCUUCCAUUACUAUUGAGCUUAUAGACACGAGUGAUGGGCGGUGUCCAGGAGACAAGUUUACAGACUUUAUUCACAAUUUUCUUAUCUGUAGCCAACAAAAUCAUUCUAGGAGAGAGUUUCUGAACUGCUGCUUCACAGACAACAAAACAUUCUGAUAAAUUAGAUGCAUUAUUUUAGGGAGAAACAAUGUUUUGCUACCAUACACAUUGUUGCAUCUGCUCUUCCCAAAUAAUAUGGUUUGGGAUGAUUUUAAUAAUAAUAGUUGUAAUGCUAUUACAAAAGUGAUGACUCCACCAAUUGGAUAAGAGAGAUAUCAGGGAGUUAGCAUUUCUUCUAAUUCCAAAGGUGGAGCAAUAGUGAUUCCAUAAAGCCUUUACCAGUGUACCAUUAUAGAAAACAUGAUCAGUGCAUGUCUUCUGAUUGUUGAAUCCGAAAAGGAAACUUUAAAAGAAACCUCUUUGAGCCAUAUUUUGGUCAAGGGUGAUCUUUCCUGUCUAGUAGAUCUGAAGAAGUUCCAGACACUGCAACAUUAAAGGAUUUUGAAGUGGUGAGUUUCCAAAUAGGAAGGUCAUCUUCCUCUUUAAGUUGACGUAUAUGAAGGCUAAUGAUACGGUAUUUAAUAGCAUCUGAAACCUCUCCACAUGAAUUCCAAUUCCGGUUAUGAACAUGAAACAUAUCUUUGAUACCAAUUCUGCUAGGCUUAGAUCCUUCAGGUAAGAAUUUGUAAAGUGCACCUAAUUCACUCCAACUAUAUCAUAUCAAAUGAGAUUUGUCUUCUUCCUAUUUUCUAGGAGAUAUUGAAUUUAUGGAGCAUAGAUUUUUUUAGUUGCGAGAGUGAACCUUGGUACUAUUCAUGAUCACAGGGUGGAACUUAGCACAAUACUUGGCCUUCAUAAACAAAGUCCAAAGAGAAUUUACAGUCCUAAAUCUUCACCAUUGUUUAACACAGAAAGCUUUACAAAUGUCGCUAAGUUGCUUGAAAUUGGCUCCACCUCUAUGAAUGGGAAGGAGAGAGGUUGUUCCAAGAAACCCAAUGAUGUCUUUUAGUACUAUCUGAACCAUUCCAAAAAAAUCUAUUCAAAGCUUUUUCAAUGAUAUUAUAGAUUGUUUCUGGAGGUUGCAUAACAACCAAGAGGUGGUAUGACAUGGCUGGAAGAACAUGUUUUAUGAGAAGUUAUUUUCUUUCUCGUAUAUAGAGGAAAACCAAGAUAGUUGAUGGGGAAGGACUCUUUCUUCAUGCCAGUAAUAAGUUUAGCUUUGUUGGUCCUUUUUAAACUGACGAAUAAUGGAGCUUUUGUGUUUGUUAAUUUGUUGGCCGGAAACAUCUUCAUAAGCUCUUAGAGUUCUCAUCAUCAUCUUCUUUAAGGAUUUUCUUGUGUGGCUUGUAAAUAUAAUAACAUCAUCUACAAAAUACAAAUGGUUAAUCUUAUACAGUAACUUUUUUUUUCCAUAAAAAUAUUUAUAAUACCUUUAGAUAUUUGUUAAGUCAAUUAUAAAUAUAAACACUUGUGAAAAAUGUAUUAACACAUAGGUGACUUGGUCAUACAUGCUAAACUUCGUUUACAUUACAAAAUAUUACUUUUUCAAAUAUGCGAUAUAAUACAAAAUAGAAGAAGUUAUAUUUGUUUCUCUAUUAUUGAAAAUAAGUCAAUACUAUUUUUCAGUUGUUAUACUUUUCAACAAUUAUACCUUUACAAUAAUACUUUAAAGUUACAUUUACCCCUCACCCGUUAACAUUAGCUAUACUUCUAUCCUAUUGAAACUUCAUUUUCAGCUUUAGAAAGUCACAUGUCAAGCUCUUGUUGAAUGAAAAAAUAUCAUGAUAAUUGUAAUAUUUGACAUAUUUAUAUAACCAGAAUGCGCGAGAGAACUGUGGGAAUGGAAUAAACCUUUAUGCGAACAACCUGAUGAUUGUGGUUGGAAUUCACUGCACUACCUCUACUUGUAUAACUUACACUCGGUAUCUUUCCUUCUCUUUUUCUUUUUUCAAUUGUUCACUCAACGUGUACAAAGCUUUAUGAAAGAUGAAAGAAUAUUACAAUAUAAGUUCAAGUAAAGUUUCGCACUUUUAUCUGUUGAUCCCGGGUCCUUAUUUAUAUGUUGAGUAGUGCGGUGAUUUUUGCUCUAACACGAAAACCCAAGGGAGUUUCCUUCAACUAAGGAUUUGUAACGUUUCCUUGAUUGAGAAUGAUUUUUCUUUAAUCAGGUUGCAUCGUUGUUUCCUCUGCCUUGAAACAGAGUUUGGUGUGGAUUUGAAUCGCUUGAUUUGAAUCGCAGUUUGAUCUUCCAAGAUCAUAGUGUGAUUUGCCUUGAUCUUCUUGUUAUCUUGUGAUUUGACUGGUUCUCGAGUGCCGACCACGUCCAGGGUGUAGGCUCGGAUCAUGACAUAUCCUCUCAGUGGUACUUCACCAUAAUUGACACCUCUGUCAGCUUGAUGUUAACAAUGUGUUUCUCUAGAAAAACCUGAAAGAGGAGGUGUACAUGGCACAACCUCCGGGGUUCACUAAUAAUGAUAAACCAACUCACAUAUGUCGGCUGUGCAAGACAAUCUAUGGAUUGAAACAAGCCUCGCAGGCAUGGUACAAUGCCUUCACAAGUUAUCUUUCAUCCACAAGUUUUUUUAAGACGAAAUCAGAUGCUUCGCUACUUGUCAGACAAGGUCUAGGUGAGACAACCUUCGCCCUUGUCUAUGUCAACGACAUUAUUGUCACUGGAAGCAACACUUUUCGUGUCGAUCAAGUUAUCGCUUCAGUUGCUUCUCAAUUCUCUAUGAAAGACUUAGGAAAUCUUCACUAUUUUCUUGGUGUUUAAGUUAUACGCAUCUCUGACAACUUAAUUCUCAUCCAAUCAAACUAUGUGAAUGAGAUUCCGAAUGAUGAGCUAAUGACCGAUUGCAAAAGUGUCCACACACCAAUGAGUGCAUCUGAGCUACACACAUUGUCUGAUGGCCCUCACCUUACUAAUACAACACGCUAUCAUCGGGUCUUCGGCAUGCUUCAAUACCUGUCUUUUACUAGACCAUACAUCGCCUAUGCGAUGAAUAAGUUAUCCCAAUUUAUGAAUGCAUCAUCAGAACUUCAUUGGAAAGUUGUAAAGCGUGUUCUCCGUUACUUGUGUGGAACUAUCUAGCUGGGCCUACAUGUAACCCCCAUCGAGGACUUCAAUGCAUGUAUACUCUGAUGAUGCAGAUUGAGGUUGGGACAUCUCUGAAGAGUUUCCACAUCUGGGUACAUCAUGCUCCUUUGUAUCAAUCUGAUUCUAGUCCUCGAAGAAGCAAAAUAAUGUCUCUCGCUCCUCCAUUAAAUCUGAGUAUAUGGCAGUUGUUAAUGCCCUUUCUGAAAUCCUGUGGGUUACCAAUCUUCUCACUAAGCUGCGUUUUUCAGUGCAUCAGUUGCCUACCAUUUAUUGUGACAAUCUUGGGGUCACAUUCAUGAGCAAAAAUCCUAUCCUCCAUAGCAGUGUGAAGCACAUUGCAGUUGAUUUUCACUUUGUUCACCACAAUGUAUACAUAAAAAGAAGUUCAGGCUGUUCAUGUCCAUGGUGCCUAUCAAAUCGCUAACACUCUCAUCAAGACACUGCAUAAACCUGCUUUCCAGCAAAAUCUAUUCAAGUUAGGCUCAGUGUCCCAUUGUCUAACUUGAAGGGGCGUAUUUGACACAGAACGACUCAGCCCUGUUAGUUCAGUUUUCUUAGGAUACUGCAUAAAUCAGUCAUUGUUUAUUUAUAUUACGUUAUUAGUGCUUGUUUAGGAGUCUUCUUAUUCUCUUCGUAAUUCAUUUUAAUACUCCUUUAUGUUCAUUAAUAAAAGUAUCUUCUUUCAACACUUGCUCAAUAUUUAUAGUUCUCCUAUAUAUGCUUUAGUGAAAAAAGUUAUUUCUCUUUUAUUGGUAAUCAAAGAAAAGUUUAAGUGUUUAAAUAAGAAAACGCCUUUUACUUUUUGUUAAAAUUUUUGUAAAGAGGGAUCCCUCGUGGUAUUGUCGCUUACUCGGACUCUGGCAACAAUCGCCUCCCUGCAUCAUCUCAUGGUUUAAACUCAAACCCUAUAAUUUUUGUGUGUAUAAGUAAAACAUGAUAUUCAUGUCUUUAUUUUUGGCUUUAUAUAAUAAUGUUGUCAUUUAACCUUUGUUUUGAUAGUAAUAUAAACAACUUUUGUUGGCCCGUUUUCUUUUCUUACAUCUGCCUCUUGUGUGAAAGACAAAACUCUUUAUAUUAAUUUUUUUUUUUUUUACGCUUUAUACGUGUACUUGAACGAGUAUGUAAGUUUUAAAAAAAUUGGAUAAAUGCAAUGCUUUUGACUUAAUCAUUUGUCUAACAUUGUUUGGUUGGGCACAGAAUUUGAGAAAUAAGAAGACUUUUGUGACACCUUGGAUAUAUCCACACAUAAUGGAUCUAAACAUGUACUAUGCUGCAAUGAAAGGGAUUAUGGAAAAUGGUGAUUUUUCACUUGUUGAUCAUCUGAAAAGGGAGGAAUUAGAAAAUGGUUACCAAGUCACUUCAAAGGGAAACACAAUCCUCCAUGUGGCAGCUCUCUUUGGCCAACGAGGUUUCGUGGGAGAAGUCCUUAAGAUUACCCCGGCAUUAUUAUGCUAUAAGAAUAAGAAAAAUGAAACUGCGCUUCACAUUGCAGCUAAUGUAGGACAAAGUGGAGUGGUAAGUGAACUACUUUGCUUUGAAGGAGUGGAGACACUCGUGAGGAUGACGGAUGACAUUGGAAAUACGGCCUUGCACAAGGCCGUGAGAGGUGGACACACUGACAUUGUCUGGAUGUUGGUGAAAUUAUUACUAGAUCCUGAACACGACUUCCCAGCCAAUAAGGCUGGGGAGACACCGCUUUAUUUGGCAGCGGAGUUUGGUUUUCAUGAUGCUUUGAUUAAAAUCUUGAACGUUUGCAAAGAACCAACUUAUGUUGCAGGUCCAUCCAAUCGAACACCUCUACAUGCAGCCGUAAUUCAAGAACACACGGGUAAGUACCUUCUGGAUGAUUUCAUCAUAUAUAAUAUGGAAAAUGAUUAAAUUUGUCCCUCUACUAAUAGAAAGAAGCUAUAUUUGUCUUUGGUUAAAAAAAAUUCAAUAAAUAUACUCCUACAGGCAUACUUUAUGAUCUUGUUAAACGAAAAAAUCAUUCAUUUAUCAUCAUAUAUCAUAUAUAAUAUUUGACUAAUAUAUCUAGAAUGCGCGAGAUCACUAUGGCAAUGGAAUAAACCUUUAUGCGAAGAAGCUGAUAAAUGGGGUUGGAAUUCACUGCACUAUGCUGUUAAACAAGGAUUGAAAGAAAUAAUUUCCGAUAUGUUGGGAUGGAAGAAAUCUUUAUCCUACCUUCCGGCUGGCAGUGAAAAUGAUUGGACGACAGCAUUUCACAUUGCAGCUAGUGAAGGUGAUGUAUUGAUGAUAUAUGAUUUAUUAAACCACUGCCCAGAUUGUUGGGAAAUGCUUAAUUGCAAUGGCCAAAAUGCACUUCAUGUUGCCUUAUUGAACGAUCACGAAAUGUUUGUCCAUGCCUUCCUUGGGUCUGGAAUUUGUGAUAGCCUUGUUGAUGAGGCAGAUAAUGAGGGCAAUACUCCACUCCAUUUGCUUGCUGCCUCUGGGAACCGUGUGCCUCAAAUGAUAUUAGACCAUCCUAGCGCAAAGAAGAUGACAUUUAACAACAAAAUACAGACUCCACUUGACAUAGCAUUGUCUCGUACAUGGACAAUAAAGAAGGUACUCCCUCUUGUCCAUGACGGACUGGAUCGGUUUUCCCCAUUUCUUUGAACUUACUCAGUCCGUUGGUUUCCUUUUUUUUUGUUAAUCAACAAUGUAAAUAAGAUUAGCAAAAAUUAUAGAAUUAGAGGGGGACAUGGCAACCUAACCUCUAGACACAAAAAGAGAGCAUAGAGAGGAGUUAAUGCUCCAAAGAGAUCUUGUCUAAGACUAAGUUCUGGCACAUUGAAUUGCUAUAGAAGUAAUCAGUAGCUUUAGCCUAAACAUACUGGCAUCUACAACAGUAAGAGAAUCAUGGGGGCUCGUAGCGCUAAGAAGAGUGUUUUUUUGCUUGUUUUCGAGAGGACGGGAGCUGGAUCUUAUCAAUUCAAAUGGGGACAAUAGCCUCCUUAGCAAGGUCUUCUUUAUGUAGGAAAAUUUUAUCGGGUGGUGGCAUGCUUCGCAAGAGCAUCUGCGACUCAGCAUGCUUUGUCACGAUUCCUUUAUUUCUGUUAUUGAACUGCUUUGAUCUGUUUUUCAUCGAGCCAAGGGUCUACCGGAAACAACUUCUCUACCUCCGGGGUAGGGAUUAUAAGGUCUGCAUACACCGACCUCCGGAGUAGGGAUUACACUGAAUAUAUUCUUGUUGUUGGUAAAGAUAAAAACUAGAGUAACAAUGAAUUAAAUAAGAAAAAAAAAAAAUUUCCUUCUUUGAUAGUAGAAAAAAAAGUUCAAGUGUUUAAAUAAGAAAACACUUUUAUUUUUUCUAAGAAGGACCUCCUCACACUGUCGUCGCUUACUCAACUCUCGGGCUCUGGCAACAAUGGCAUCCCUGCAUCAUCUCAUGAUAUAGUAAUAUACUAAACAACUUUUGUUGGUUCGUUUUCUUUUCUUACAUUUGCCUCUUCUGUGAAUGACAAAACUCUUUCUAUUAAUUUUAUUUUUUAAUUGGAUGCGUAAAAAACUUGUGAAAAGAUAUGAGUUCCCACACAUGAUAAACCAUCUCUUGAAGGCAAAAUUGGUCGAUUUUCCCCUUGUUUGUGAGAUAUACAUGAGACCUAAUUCAAAUUCAGAUACACUAUAAAUGCGUACCAUAUCCUUGUAAACUUUUUAAUUGUCGUAAUUCCCAAUUAAUUUUUCUUUGCGCGUUUUUAUUCCAGGUCUAUAUAAGCACACCUCUAGUGAAUAAGAUACAUAUAAAAAAUUCUCCUUUUUAUGCAUAUUCCCUAAUUUUCAUUAACAGGCGUAGGGAGAAAUUAGUUAAAACGAUUACAUCAUAGUCAGAUCAAAAUUACGACAACACUGUGUUCAAUAUCAAUAUUGUUGAAUUUUUCUAAUAUAAUAGUUCAAAUCAAUCUAUAAAAGUUUGAGAUCACCAAGUAGUCAAAAUUUACUCUUUUUUAUGUUGUUGACGGAUGUCGCAUUAAAUUUUAUAGUUUAAAUUCAGUUAAAUAGAGAUAAAAAUAGUAAAAGUAAUACUAAAAUAAUAGUACUAAAUUAUGUUGGAACUGCUAUGAUUUGAAGAUCAAUUUAAGAUUCAAAAGUUUAUGAGCUUUACAUAAAUUUCAAGUUAGUAUCACAAUAAUAAUUGAUUUCUUAAUUAAAUAUUUAUAAAUAUUUAAUUUAUAUAUUUGGACAAAAAAUAUUAAAUUUAUAUGAAAUCGUAACUAAGCUUCCAUAUCCUCCCCAAAUUACUAUAUAACUUAUUUCAUCUAGGAGAUGAAAUUAAAUAAUACCAAGUUGGAUGAUUAAGAUGGAAUAUUUAGGAUCAAAGUUGAGAUUAAAUGUAUACCUUCAAUCAAAAAAUAUAAUUUUAAUCAUGAGAUAUCUUAAGAUAAUUAGAUCCAAAGUAUAUUGAAUUAUUGAUGAGUGUAGUUCAUUUUUAUUAAUAUUUUUUACUUAUAUAUAUAGAGACAAUAUAACUUUUUGUUGUCAUCAUUAGAUAUUAUAACUUGUAGCAGGAUACUUUUUUUUAAGAAGUAAUAUCAAACUUUUUUGGAAGGAGUGGAGAGGGGGCGAGGUCUGAAUUUUUUUAAAGUAUUUAUAAAUAAAAUUGAAAAAAUCGAAGGACGGGUGAUUAUCGGGGGAGGGGGUGGGUAGGAGAUGGUGGAGUGGAUUGAUAAUAUUUAUNNNNNNNNNNNNNNNNNNNNNNNNNNNUAUAUAUAUAUAUAUAUAUAUAUAUAUAUAUAUAUUUGGAAUAGUUAUACUAUAUAAUUUAGUUUUUAACUAAUAUUGAUAGUUUAUUUAUUUUUUAUCAAAGUGAAAUGCUAUGUCUAUGUGGUAAAAUUUUGCAAACGGAAAAGGGUCAAAAAUAUCCUUAAACUAUCUGAAAUAGCUCAUAUUUACCCUUAAACUAUAUUUCGGCUCAAAACUACCCUUCCCGUGAAACUAUUGGGUCAAAAGUACCCUUCUUAUUAACGGAAGUUGUUAAAUGCCAUGUGAAUGCCACAUUGCAUGCCAAUACUAAUUACUUUUUUUUUCCACGGCCACAUAGACUAAAUCCCUAAAUCCUAAUUACUCUUUUUUUUUUCCCUCAUUUCAUUAUUUUCCAGAAACAAUUUCAUCCAUUCUCCCUCAUAUUCUCCCCAAAUUACUAUAUAAUUUAUUUCAUCUAGGAGAUGAAAUUAAAUAAUACCAAGUUGGAUGACUAAGAUGGAAUAUUUAGGAUCAAAAUUGAGAUUAAAUUUAUACCUUCAACCAAAAAAUAUAAUUUAAAUUAUGAGACAUCUUAACAAAUGAUCUUUAAAAGUACCAAAACGUCAGAUAAUUAGAUUCAAAGUAUAUUGAAUUAUUGAUGAGUAUAGUUCAUUUUUAUUAUAUUUUUUACUUAUAUAUAUAGACAAUAUAACUUUUUGUUGUCAUCAUUGGAUAUUAUAACUUGUAGCAGUAUACUUUUUAUUUUUUUUGGUUUUGCUAUUUUUAUUACUAAUGAACUUAAAACUUAACUUGUAGCAGGAUUACUUUUUAUUUUUUUGGGUUUUGCUAUUUUUAUUACUAAUGAACUUAAAACUUAACUUGUAGCAGGAUACUUUUUAUUUUUUUGGGUUUUGCUAUUUUUAUUACUAAUGAACUUAAAACUUAACUUGUAGCAGGAUUACUUUUUAUUUUUUUGGGUUUUGCUAUUUUUAUUACUAAUGAACUUAAAACUUACAUCGGUAAGUUGUAUCUCAAUCUGCACAGCUCCUGGUACAUCGGAAGAAGCCAGAAACAGAGGAUGAUCAUGAUCGAUCUUUUUCGACAUUGAUCAGGAAUUUUAAGCUACAAAAACAGAAAUUAGAAUGACAAUUCUCAACCCGUAAGCUCUGAUACCAUGUUACAAACUGAAUUCUAAUCACUCAAUCAUAAUUGAAUCACAGUAGAAGAAUAGAUCUCAAUUUCAUAUCAACGCCUCAAAGAUUUACAUAGUUUUACACUGUAUAUUUUCUAACUAACUCCAGAUGGAUCAUAUUAUAUAUAUACAUGUACUAAUUGACUUAUUUACAGUAAAGUCAUCUUCUAGAAUAUUCUUAACAGCCUAACUAACUUUCACGUCAAGUUAACUGACUAAUAAUAGACUAAUAACAAUCUUCAGUCAGCUGUUUGCAAUCUCUUUGUUAUAAUCUCUAAUAUAUUUCAACAAAACCCAAUGUUUGAUUUCUUUAGGACUCAAUAAAGGUAGCCAUGUGUUUGUCCAAAAAAGUGUACCAUGAGUCUACUUACUUACACUUUGUUUGGAUGAUUGUAACAUAUUGUUUCAUAAUAUAUCAUACUGUAUUGUUGUAAUUAAUACAUUGUUCCCUUUCACCCUCCUCUGCAUCAUCUCAUGGUUGUCUCUCUUGUUUUACUUAAACUGAUCUACCAUUCUUGCUGUGUCUAAGUAGAGCAUGAUGUUCAUAACUUAAACUCCUUUAAUGCAAAUUUUCAAUCACAAGCGUAGGGAGCAAUUAGUUAAAUCGAUUAAAAUUACUUUCAAUAAACUGACUUGCCACAGCAUUGCAUUCAGUAUCAAUAUUGAUUAUAGUCGGAAAAUACCCUACUUCAUUUUUAUCACAAGGACAAGUAAAUUUUGGAGAGUGAGUUAUCUAUAAUGACGAAUCGUUGACCGAUUUUUUGAGGGUUCCAAAUGACUAUAUAGAUCAAAUCAAGUUAACAAUACUUGAAAUCUAUGUUAGAAAGGAGCCUAAGACUAGUCAACAAUGUUCUCUUUUAUCGGUCGAUGUCCAUCCAUAAUUAGAAAAUCGUAAUAGCGUUGAUGGAUUUUCAAUAACUCAAUCUACCAAUUUUUCUAAUAUCUAAUUUAUGCAAUUUGUAGGGUCGGAUUGUUGUGUUGUUCGGUUGUGCUACUCCAAUCUUUCAAGAUUUUGAUUUUUUAGUGUGGGGUCGCUUUAGUUGUCGGAUUGGGACCAUCAAAUUAACAUCUUCGAAGUGAAAAAACGUUUGGAAGAUGAAAGUGAACCAUGAAAGUGAAAGGGGAGACAAAGAAAGUGAAAAGGUAAAGUAACUUUUCUUAAAGUGUAAAAUUUUCUUCCACUUUAUAAAGUGUAAGAAAAACUUCCACUUUACAAAGUGUAAUAAAUAAUUUCGUUUUACAAGGUGUAAAAAAUAGUUCCGUUAUAUAUUAAAAUAUACACGUUAUGAGACUAACGGAAAACAUUUGGAAUAUUGCAUAAAACGGAUUUUUUUCUUCCACUAACCCUAUUUUAGUUAGUUACUAGAAUAAUGACUUAUUUUGGUCACUUUUAUCUUUUUGUUGCUUAUUUAGGUUCCAAACUCCAAAUCUUGUCCUGCAUUUUCCAACAAGCUAUUUUCAUGUCUCGAACCAAUAUAUAAAAUAAAUCCAAUUGAAGAAACAAUGAAAUAUACAAAAAGAGUUCACUGCUUGAAUAGUUAACAAAGUUAUUUAAAAUAAAUGAACAAAGUCUUUUUCCCUCCUUUUUUUUUGGUAGGGCCGCACCAAUGCAGUAUGAUAUAAGUUCAACCAUUUGGGUCGGGUUUCGGCGGGCACCCCUCCAAAUUGCAAUGGUAGUUACCAACGUAAACCAUGACCCUUAUUGAACCCCCAUUGACUUAGUUCAGUAAAUGCAAUAGAAGUCACCAACCUAGGAUAUUUUUUAAUAAUAUAAUAUAUCACUUAUCUUUUAUUCAUUUUUUUAAAAAGGGCAUUAAAGGAGGAAAUUGAUAUGUUCAGCCACUUUACCUUAUUUUUUAAGCCAAAAAUAAAAAAUAUUAAACUCAAUUCAUUUCAACCAAAAAUCACCUGCCCCGCUCACUACUUGUUCUCUUCUUAAUUAUUUCCAACAUGAUUUUUUGAUACUAUAUUUGAUUUACAUGUUUGAUUUUUUAUAUGCUUUACUUGAGCCAAAGUCCGAGGGUCUAUAAAAACAUCCUCUCUUCAUUCAUAAAAUAGGAGUAAGACUACGUAUGCACCAUAUCAAACUCCACUUGUAAAGGGAGUAGUAUACAUUGGUAUUGUAUUCCCAAUCUCUGAUGAACCAGAGCAAACCAAGAAGAAACUCUUAAAAGCUCUUGCCUUUUGGGCUCAUUGACCCAAUAAACAUACUUUGUAGUCAUGCCCAAGUAGCCACCAAAUACUUGGCCCAAAUAUAUAUAUUAAAUUAUGGUAGAUUAUAUGAUUUAGUAUAAAUAUAUUGAGAGCAAAAUAAGUACAACUUUUUUGUAUGUUCAAGAUUAUUUAGUGAAUUUGUGUUGAACUUGAAAAAAUCUAGAAUGGUAGUUAUUCUCCAAAAUAUGAUUGUUUAUUUUGAGAACUUCUACUAUUCAUGUUUAAGAAAUCAAACUAUUCAAGACUUUCCUUUUCCCCCAAAUUAUACCUACUAAAAUAAAAGGUCAAAAUGUCAAGAUUAGACCUGAAAGAUACAUUGAAAUAGUGUAAAACUUAGGUUCAAUCAAAAAUUAGAUGUUCAUAAUCAUAUCGACCUAUAUUAACAAGUCUUCUUCAUUUAUGGACUUCAUUUGUCAGAUAACCUACCUAUUUGUUUGCUUCUCUCUGAAUAUGGAUGAUAUUCAUCUUGGUGGCAUCAAGUAAAUACUUGCAAUCUCUUAUGACGUCCUUUCUUUUAUGCGGAAAUAAUCUCUUCUGACCAAUUACAAUUUGGAUAGAAAAAAAUGACCGCAUUUAGAUAUUUUAUAUAUAGAAAAUAAAGAUCCAUCACAAAAGAAACAUAAAACUAAAAACAAAUUUUGGACUAUUUUCUUUGUCCUUUUUUAUUGCUUAAUAUUUUACUUCCUCUCUGUCUCACUCCAUUUAUCUAUCAUCAUAAUCCAAUUGUUGUUACUUGUUAUCCUUGAGACUUGAAGUGGGUCCAUCCUAUCAAUUUCCUAGCCAAUAAUAAUAUGCCACGUGUAUGAACAUGUGAUAAUUAAGGCAACAUCAAAAUUCCCUAAUUGAGUCAUAAAGUGUGAGAAUGCCAUAAGAAAUUAUUGUAUUAUGUUAUGUUCUUACCAACUAAGGAAUCAAAGAAUCUUUGUUGGGUUUUAGCGUUGUAGAGAAACAAGAAGAAGAAAAAAACACCUAUAAGGGUUAAACUGGUCUUUUAGAUUUUAUCAAUCAAAGAAAAAAAAGGUAUGUUGAAGAGCUACCUAAUCAAAUCUUUCUUUAGUUUUACUGUUUUCUCAUGUUGGGUUUUACCUAAAUACUCAUUUUUUCCAUCUGGGGUUUACUUUUUGUGAAUGAAUAUGAGUUAAAGAUGGGAUUUUUAGUACAUAGUGUUGAAAAAAGAUUGUGUUUUUAUCUUGGAGUGAGAAAAUGUGUAUUUAACUUUGUUGAGUACUAUUUCCUCUUUUCUAAUUUCUUUGUGUUACUUUAAUUUGUUCCAGUUUAAGAAAAUAAGCAAGACUUUUGAAUCUUGUGUUAUUAAUGUUGUAGAACGUAUGAAAAUGUCAUUUAAUUUCUCUUACUUGAAAAAAAAGCUGAGGUUUUUUCCCCUUUGAAAUUUCAGUUUGAGUCAUUGGUUGGUAACUGGACUCUUAAUUUAGAUUGUUGAUCUUAUUUUUGGAUGUUAUGCAUAAUUUCUUUUGGUACAUUGGAAAGAAAAAUAGACUACAUAAAAAAAAAAUUAAAGUUGUUCAUUAGCAAUAUGCUUAAGUUCGCUAGGAGAAGAAACUUUAUGUUCUUAAUAGUAUUACAGGGCCUCUUCAUGAUUGUGAUUCUCCAUAAACAAGUAGUCUCUGGAUAUACAUAUUAAUGAGUAUAUAAAGUGACACUUGAACUUGUUUCGAAUUUUCAAAAAGAUAUCUUAAUUAUGCGAGCGUCCUAUUACCCAUUAAACAAUCUUGAACUGAUAUUAUUACAUUGUCCACUUCACAUAGAGAGCGUGUGAACUCUCUCAAAGAGGGUGAGCAAUCUAAAAUAACUAAUAUAAUUUUAUUUUUACAAGUAUUUUAUUAUAAAAUAUGUUGAACUGAUAUUAUUACAUUGUCCACUUCACAUAGAGAGCGUGUACACUCUCUCAAAGAGAGUGAGCAAUCUAAAAUAACUAAUAUAAUUUUAUUUUUACAAGUAUUUUAUUAUAAAAUAUGUUUUCUUAUUUUUCUUAUUAUUUUAACUUUUUUUCCUUUUUAUUUUUUCUCUUUCUUUCUUCUUUCUUCUUCAAAAAUUCAUUGUCAUUUUUAUUGAAGCUUCUCACUUUCAAUGUCACCAUUUUUACCACAACUUCACCUUUCUUUUGUUUUUUACUACUAUUAGUUUUACUCUCUUUAAUUUUAAAACUUUAUCUAAAUAUUUUCUUACAUUUCGAACAAUUUGAUAAACCCAUUAAAUUUCAAGAUGAUUAGGAAAUAUCAUAUAAUUUUUUUUAUCCGAUUCCAAUUAAGUUCUUUCAAUUUUCGGAAAAUUCAUUGAUUCUUUUAAAAUUAUAAUUUAUAAUUUGAAGUUAUAUGAAAAGGAGUAAUUGAUGAUACCUUCAAAAUUUUAAAUUUUCUUAGAAAAAUAAUUAGUUUUGUUAUCAAUAAUUCAAUAAAGUCUAGAAAAUAGUAUGAUUUUAAAAAUCACUGAAAUAAAGAAUUUGACUGAAGAAGAAGAAAAAAAAAUAAAAAAUGAAAGAGGGUUCAACUUGACGUGGGGGGUGGGGUGACGGUGAGAGAUGAAGAAAAAGAAAGAAAAUGAAAUUUAAGAUGAAAUCAAAAUUAAAAUAAGUCAAAAGUAAGAAAGAGAGAAAAGGUAAAGAAAAAACUUAAAAUGAAAAAAAUAUAUUUUUAAUUAAAUUAACACGUGUCAUGUAAUGAUUGGUGUGUGAACACACUUGCUUCUUAAAAUCUGAGGCUGAUCGAAAAAUAAUAUAAUAAUAUCUGUUCAAAAUUGUUUAGUAGGGUAAUAAGACGGUUGCAAAGUUAAGAUAUCGUUUUGAAAAUUCGGGACAAGUUAAAUAGUGAAUUUAUGUCUUUUCUCUUUUAAAAAAUUACAUAAAUGCAAUAUAACAAUGCUUUUGACUUAACUAGAUACUUCAUUUGUCUCACAUAAAAGAAACAAGGAACUUUUGUGACACCUUGGAUAUCCACACAUAAUGGAUCCAAGAAUGUACAAUGCUGCAAAGAAAGGGAGUACUAUGGAAGAUGGUGAUUUUUCACUUGUUGAUUAUCUGAAAAGGGAGGAAGAAAAUGGUUACCAAGUCACUCCAAAGGGAAUACAAUCCUCCAUGUGGCAGCUCUCUUUGGCCAACGAGGUUUCGUGGGAAAAGUCCUUAAGAUUACCCCGGUAUUAUUAUGCUAUAAGAAUAAGAAAAAUGAAACUGCGCUUCACAUUGCAGCUAAUUUAGGACAAAGUGAAGUGGUGAGUGAACUACUUAGCUUAGGAGGAGAGGAGACAAUACUCGUUAGGAUGACGGAUGACAUUGGAGAUACGGCCUUGCACAAGGCUGUGAGAGGUGGACACAUUGACAUUGUCAGGAUGUUGGUGAAAUUAUUACUAGAUCCUGAACACGACCUCCCGGCCAAUAAGGCUGGGGAGACACCACUUUAUUUGGCAGCAGAGUCUGGUUUUCAUGAUGCUUUGAUUGAAAUCUUGAACGUUUGCAAAGAACCAACUUAUGUUGCAGGUCCAUCCAAUCGAACACCUCUACAUGCAGCCGUAAUUCAAGAACACACGGGUAAGUACCUUCUGGAUGAUUUCAUCAUAUAUAAUAUGGAAAAUGAGUAAAUUUGUCCCUCUACUAAUAGAAAGAAGCUAUAUUUGUCUCUAAAUAUACUCCUACAGGCAUACUUUAUGAUCUUGUUAAACGAAAAAAAUACAUUCAUUUAUCAUCAUAUAUCAUAUAUAUAUAUAUAUAUAAUAUUUGACUAAUAUAUCCAGAAUGCGCGAGAUCACUAUGGCAAUGGAAUAAACCUUUAUGUGAAGCAUCUGAUAAAUGGGGUUGGAAUUCUCUACACUAUGCUGUUAAACAAGGAUUGAAAGAAAUAGUUUCCGAUAUGUUGGGAUGGAAGAAAUCUUCAGCCUACCUUCCGGCAGGCAGUGAAAAUGACUGGACGACAACAUUUCACAUUGCUGCUAGUGAAGGUGAUAUAUUCAUGAUAAUUGAGUUAUUAAACCACUGCCCAGAUUGUUGGGAAAUGCUUAAUAGCAAUGGUCAAAAUGCACUUCAUGUUGCCUUAUUGAACGGUCACGAAAUGUUCGUCAUGGUGUUACUUGAGUGGGAAUUUUGUAAUAGCCUUGUUGAUGAGGCAGAUAAUGAGGGCAAUACUCCACUCCAUUUGCUUGCUGCCUCUGGGAACCGUGUGCCUCAAAUGAUAUUAUACCAUCCUAUCGCAAAGAAGAUGAUAUUUAACAAACAAAAUCAGACUCCACUUGACAUAGCAUUGUCUCGUACAUGGACAAUAAAGAAGGUACUCCCUCUUGUCCAUGACGGACUGGAUCGGUUUUCCCCAUUUCUUUGAACUGACUCAGUCCGUUGGUUUCCUUUUAUUUUUUUUUAUUUUUAAUCAACAAUGUAAAUAAGAUUAGCAAAAAUUAUAGAAUUAGAGGGGGACAUGGCAACCUAACCUCUAGACACAAAAAGAGAGCAUACAGAGGAGUUAAUGCUCCUAAGAGAUCUUGUCUAAGACUAAGAGUUCUGGCACAUUGAAUUGCUAUAGAAGUAAUCAGUAGCUUUAGCCUAAACAUACUGGCAUCUACAAAAGUAAGAGAAUCAUGGGGGAUCGUAGCGCCAAGAAGAGUGCUUUUUUGCUUGUUUUCGAGAGGACGGGAGCUGGAUCUUAUCCAUUCAAAGGGAACCAAUAGCCUCCUUAGGAAGGUCUUCUUUAUGUAGGAAAAUUUUAUCUUCUUAAGGGUGGUGGCAUGCUUCGCAAGAGCAUCUGCAACUCCAUUACUUUCUCUAUAGUAGUGACUAUUCGUGACAUCUUCUGUUGCAUAUCAUCGAUUAUAUUUUGCAAUCUUGAAAGGGUGGUUUCCUUUGAUUGGUUUUUGCACUGCUUUAGUAGUGAUAUUUAUUAAGCGUAAAGAUGAAAACUGUUCAUCAGUAUGCUUUGUCAUGAUUCCUUUAUUUCUGUUAUUGAACUGCUUUGAUCUGUUUUUCAUUGAGCCGAGGGUUCUAUCAGUAACAACUUCUCUAUCUCCGGGGUAGGGAUUAUAAGGUCUACGUACACCUACCUCCGGAGUAGGGAUUACACUGAGUAUAUUCUUGUUGUUGAUAAAGAUAAAAACUAGAGUAACAAUGAAUUAUAUUUUGUGUUUUUGAAAAUGACAACUAUUUUGGACUAUCUAUUUUUGGUAAGGACGAAAAUUAAAUGAACCAGAGAAAGUAGUUAUUAAUUCAUCUUUUUCUCAAGUACUAUUAUAUUUUCAUCAGCUGAUCAAUUUUAUUACUACAUGUCACAUCUUAGGAGAAAUUGGUAGGCGAUUUGUACAGCAUAAAUGGACUAUUGGGACAACGUGACUUCAAGGUAAAACGGAAAACAGAAACGAUUGGUAACAUACAACAGAUGAGGAGAAAGGGGGAUGAUGAUGACAAAGCUAAGAGAGACAAAAUAGAAAUAGAAAAAAUUAUGAAGGCAGCUCAAAUACAAGUAGUUGUAGCUACUCUCCUAAUGACAGUCACUUUCGCAGCUGGCUUCACAUUGCCAGGAGGUUUAUACAACGAAGACAGUCCUAAUAAAGGGAUGGCGAUUCUAUUAAGAAAAGCAGCUUUUCGUGCAUUUGUUAUUUCAGAUGUCCUGGCAUUUGCAUUCUCAGCUGGUGCUAUAUUCAUCUACUUCUUCAUGGCAAAUUGUGAUGUAGCCGAAGAUGAAGAAUAUGAACGGGACUGGUUCAAAGUUUUAAAGAGUUAUUAUAUAAUAGCAGGUUCUUUGCAACUUUUGGCAAUGGGUGCUGUUGUAAUUGCAUUUGUAACUGGUAUGUAUGCUACUUUAGCAAAUUCACUUGAUCUUGCUGUUAGUGUUUGUGUCAUCGGUUGUGUCUCUUUUCUUAUGUACUUUUGGAUUAUCUUUUGGGUAGAAAGCUAAGAAGAAACUCUUAAGAGCUCUUGCUUUUUAGGCCUAUUGAGCCAACAAACAUACUUUGUAGUCAUGCCCAAGUUGCCACCAAAUACUUGGCCCAAAUAUGUAUUAAAUUAUGAUUAGAUUAUAUGAUCUAGUAUAAAUAUUGAGUGCUAAAUAAGUACUUCUUUGUAUGUUCAAGAUUAUUUAGUGACUUUGUAUUGAACUUUGAAAAAUCUAGAAUGGUGAUUAUUCUUCAAACUAUGGUAUUAAAGACUCUUUAACUUAAACUAGACUAGAUGAAAAACAUUAUGUCAAGAACUUUACUAUUGAUGUUUUAAUUCAAAACCUUUUUUUGUUGUUUAUAAUUUUGUUUUUUCCUCAAAAAUAAAAUGUCAAGAUUAGACCGGAAAAUAUAUUUUGUAAAACUUGGGUUCCAUGAAAAAUUAAAUAUUCAUAAUCACAUUGUCCUAUAUUAACAAGUUUUCUUCAUUUAUGGACUUCAUUUGCCAGAAAACCUACAUAUUUGUUUGCUUCUCUCCGGAUAUGGAUGAUAUUCAUCUCGAUGGCAUUAAGCAAAUACUUGCAAUCUCUUAUGACGUCCAUUCUUUAACGCGGAAAUAAUCUCUUCUAACCACUUACAAUUUGAAUAUUAAAAAAAUGAUCAUUUUUAGAUAUUUUAAAUAUAAAAAUAAAGAUCCAUAGUAUAAAAAGACAUAAAACUAAAAACAAAUUUUGCACAUUUUCUUUGUCCUCUUUGAUUUCUUUAAUUAUUUACUUCCUCUCUGUCUCACUCCCUUUCUCUAUCAUCAUACACCAAUGGUUGUUAUCCUUGAGACUUGAAGUAGGUCCAUCCUAGCAAUUUCCUAGCCAAUAAUAGUAUGCCACAUGUAUGAACAUGUGAUAAUUAAACAUCAAAAUUCCCCAAUUGAGUCAUAAAGUGUGAGAAUGCCAUAAGAAAUUGUUGUAUUAUGUUAUGUUCUUACCCACUAAGGAAUCAAAGAAUCUUUGUUGGGUUUUAGACUUGAAAAGAAACAAGAAGAAGAAAAAACACCUAUAAGGGUUAAACUGGUCUUUUAGAUUUUAUCAACCAAAUAAUAAAAAAAAAGCUAUGUUGAAGAGCUACCUAAUCAAAUCUUUCUUUAGUUUUACAGUUUUCCCAUGUUGGGUUUUACCUAAAUACUUAUUUUUUCCAUCUGGGGUUUGCUUUUUGUGAAUGAAUAUGAGUUAAAGACUGGAUUUUUAGUACAUGGUGUUGAUAAAGAUUGUGUUUUUAUCUUGGAAGUGAGAAAAUGUGUGUAUUUAUCUUUGUUGUGUACUAUUUCCUCUUUUCUGAUUUGUUUGUGUUACUUUAAUUUGUCAAAGUUUAAGAAAAUAAACAAGACUUUUAAAUCUUGUGUUAUUAAUGUUGUAGAAUGUACAAAAAUGUCAUUUAAUUUCUCUUACUUGAAAGAAAGCUGAGGUUUUUUCCCCUUUGAAUUUUCAGUUUGAGUCAUUGGUUGGUAACUACUGGACUCAACUUUUGCAAUCCCCUUUCUUAAUUUGGAUUGUUGAUCUUAUUUUUGGAUGUUAUGCAUAAUUUCUUUUGGUACAUUGGAAACAAAAAUAAACUACUCCCCAUAUCCCAAUUUAUGUGACACUUUUCGUUUUUCGAGAGUCAAACAAUUUAAAUUUGACAGAGAAUUUGUGCUUCGAAUGUCCGAUUUGAAAUAAAAUUUAUAUAUUUGUAAACUACGUAAAAAGUACUAUAUAAGUCACAAUAAUUGAUAAUUCAAAAUGCUUAAGAGAUCUAUGAACAAUUUACGGUCAAAGAUAGACUUGUUUGAAUCUCGAAAUCCGAAAAGUGCCACAUAAAAUGAGACGGAGGGAGUACAUAAAUUUUUUUAAAGUUGUUCAUAAGCAAUAUGCUUAAGUUCGCUAGGAGAAGAAACUUUAUGUUCUUAAAUCUUAAUAGUACUUGUUGUGACAAAAAGAUGAAAACGAAAAUCUAAAAUAAAGAACACCAAGUUUAACGUGGAAAAAUCCUUCAAAACGAAGGUAACCACCACGGGAUCGACAAGAUCCGAAUUGCUUCACUAUAACAAUAAGAGAGUUACAAUUAUUCUUCUAAUGGCUACACAACAAGUGCCAAAAGAGAACAAACAAUAACUACACCAACAAAAGAUAAAUAGAAAGAAACACCACCCAAACCCAGCUGCUGUUUAGGACCUAAAACAGGAUCUUGCUGACUUCCGAAUCCGAUCUCCACCGUUCAAAUCAACCACCAAGAUGUCAGGAACACUCAGUACAAAUUUUCAGUCCUAACAAGUACGAUCCAACGGUUAGUUAAUCGGGAAACACAAUCUGAAGGUUGCUGGUCGGAAUAAAAUACUGCAGCAAAAGAACCAUUUUUCUUCUCUUUUCUCUCUUGUUGAAAAGCUCUCUCAAAAAAACCUCUCUUAUGUCCUAAUGUCUUUCAAAAGACAAUACUAAUGAGCAAUCUGAAUUAUUCUCUUAAGACCAUCCUCUAUUUAUAGAGUUGUGCUUUUCCUUACAAAGCCAAAACCAACUCCAAAUAGGAUUACUAUUCCAAUCCUUUUCCUAAUAGAAUUGGAAACCAAAUAAAGAGAAUAAUUCCAAUCCUUUUUCAAAUAGGAUUAGGCCAUGGGCCUUUGGCUGGACAUGGGCAAUAGCCCAACAUUGAGAAGGGUGUUAUAUUUUUAUUGGACCUGCUAGAUAUUGAUGUCUGAUGAUGUGGAACUUUUGAAAAAUGAACAGCCAAAUAAAUGAAAGAGCAAAGAAAAAUUAAGAGAUAAUAUAUGGUCAAAAACUAUAUUUGAACUAGAUGAAGAAUGCCCGUUCCGCGCACGGCCUAACAAUUUCAAUUAUGAUAUACUCUCCUUGUUCAUUUUUUACACUUUCAUUAUUUUAAAAAUAGAUUUUUAUUUUUAUUUGUCACUUGUAAUAUAUCAAGAAAAGAAAAUUAUUAUUUUUCAUUAGUAACGUUAGCAUUAAUUAUUUAUUUUCCAACUCAGUUUUCAAGAUUUAAUAUUAAACAUUACGUAUUUAAUAUGGAUAGAACAGUAAAAUAGUCAUGUCAAUUAUUAUUUUUUAAUAGGCAUGAAAUUUAUUUAUGUUUCGACUACUACUGUUGUUCAUAAUAUAAUGGGGAAAAUGCAUAAGUACUCUCCCCCCCCUCCCGUAGGUCGAUUGACCGAACCACAUUAAAUCUGUCUCUUCUGGUGUGUUUCUCGUUUAUCUUCUUACUCGUGGUCUUUCAAGGUUUGCUUUGCUAGCUUCCGCGUGACACCUAAUUAUUUUUCAGUCCUAACAGUAUUAAAGGGCCUCUUCAUGAUUGUGAUUCUCCAUAAACAAGUAGUCUCCGGAUACGUGCUUUGUUUUUUUGAGAAGUGGAUACGUGCUUUGUAUGUGAACCUGAACAUAUUAAUGAGUAUGUUAGUUUUAAAAAAUUGCAUAAAUGCAAUAUAACAAUGCUUUUGACUUAACUAGAUACUUCAUUUGUCUCAAUUUAUGUGACAUUGUUUGAUUGAGCACAGAGUUUAAGAAAUAAGACUUUUGUGACACCUUGGAUAUCCACACAUAAUGGAUCCAAGAAUGUACAUUGCUGCAAGGGAAGAGAGUAUGGAAGAUGGUGAUUUUUCACUUGUUGAUCAUCUGAAAAGGAAGGAAGAAAGUGGUUACCCCAAAGGGAAAUACAAUCCUCAAUGUGGCAGCUCACUUUGGCCAACGAGGUUUCGUGGGAGAAGUCCUUUAAGAUUACCCCGGCGUUAUUAUGCUAUAAGAAUAAGAAAAAUGAAACUGCGCUUCACAUUGCAGCUAAUUUAGGACGAAGUGAAGUGGUGAGUGAACUACUUAGCAUAGAAGGAAAGGAGACACUUGUGAGGAUGACGGAUGACAUUGGAGAUACGGCCUUGCACAAGGCCGUUAGAAGUGGACACAUUGACAUUGUCAGGAUGUUGGUGAAAUUAUUACUAGAUCCUGAACACGACUUCCCAGCCAAUAGGCUGGGGAGACACCACUUUAUUUGGCAGCAGAGUCUGGUUUUCAUGAUGCUUUGAUUGAAAUCUUGAACGUUUGCAAGGAACCAACUUAUGUUGCAGGUCCAUCCAAUCGAACACCUCUACAUGCAGCCGUAAUUCAAGAUUGUGUUUUUUUGCUUUGGGAUGUACAUUUAUUUGUGUUGUUGUACUAGUACCAUUUUAUUUUCAGAAUGCCCUCUUUUGGGGUUCUUGAAAACGCUGAGAUUUUUUUUUCUCUUUGAGUUCAGUUUGAGUUGUUAUUGGUUUGUAAAUACUGGAAUUAACUUUUGUCUCCAUUUUGGGUGCAAAUAUUAGUAAACGUAUAUGGGAAGCAACUGAAAUUUAAUGACCUGUAGCAUAGCAUCUUAAAGAUUGUUAUAAAAAUAGUGUUUUUUUAGGUGUUUGUGCUCUGAGUGACUGAGCAAAGAAAUCUUCUCUAAAAUCAUUUGUUCUAUGAGUGAAUGACAUGUUUGUAUAUAUCCACAGAUUAAUAAAUGCUCUGCUCUCAUUAUGUACAUUGUUGUCUAGGUGUUUGGUAUGUGUCUUACUAGAGUUUACGGUGCUAGCUUAAUCAACUUAAAUAGGCACUUGAAUGCAUUAUCUUUACCGUCUGCACCUGAAAUUAUAUCCAUGUAAGAAACCAAUAAUAGCAUGCUGCUUGUAUGGACAUUACCAAGAAAUCAACAAAGCACAACCGCAAUCACAAGCACAACAAUUCUCUAGAUCAUACACUAUUUUUUUAUUAAAUCUGAAACCGAAUGCACGUUCAAUAUCGUUUCGACAUGAUUCUUGUUUCAUCACAAAUUAAUUAUUAUGUUAUGUACUUAUUGUUAUCUUGUAUUUAAAUUAUUAUGUCAUGUAUAUAUUGUAUUUUGAAAUUAAAAAUUUUCAUCUUAUCAUUUAAAUUUUGUACAUUCUUUAUAGUGAAAAUAAAAAAUAAUAUCAAAUUAUCUCUUAAAGUAACGAAAAUUGAAAAAAAAUAUUUGAAAUAUUGUUAAUUCGGGAUGAAAGUAGUAUAUAUUAAAUAAAUAUAUUUUUUAAAAUGUUGUAUUACAGUUAAAAAGAAUUACGAAUAUUAGAAAUUUAAUUAAUAAGAAAAAUAAUAUGUUAGUUACAAAUAAUAGAAAUAAUAUUAAAUUAAUAAAAAACAGAGAGGAUGAAUAGUUGGAGAACUAUUGUUCACCUCUCUAUAAAUAAAGAAUAGAGAGCUUUUUAGAGGGUGAUUGGAGACCCAAUUCGCUAUUUUACUCUCCAAAUAUAGAGAAUGGAGAGUAAAAUAAAGUAGGGUUGGAGAUGGUCUAAGACUCUAUUAUCUUGUUCAAUGAAACCAAAAAUUGUAAAUGAAUAACAGCACAAAGCGUAAGGUGGAAAUUAAUAGUGCCCACAAGAGAGCACUACGAAUUUGCACCUUUUAGUUUUCUGAGAACUCAUUUCCUUCUCUCCCACAUUAUUUAGGAGACUCUGCUACAAGAAGUGAUGGGCUAGUAUUUGAAAAAUUAGAAACAAUAUUAUUUCUUACAAUUAAGACAAUUAAUUGAUGGUAAACCAAAAAUAUAAUGUGCACUUAAAUUAAAGAACACAGUACCCCUUUCUCAUCUGGUUGAAACUCCACUGAUUUGAUAGGGACACGAUUUGAAUCUAAAGUAACAUGAAGUAUUUUCCUCUUGUCUUCUUCUUCAAAUAUGUCCAACAAAAUUUGAUACUUCAUCAUUUCUUUUUGGAUGUAUUGGAUCUUGUUGAAGCUAUUGACACUGUCAUAUGAUUUUGCUUUGUCAGUCGCAUCGGCAGGUGCCUUGGAACAAACUCUCCUGUCCUUUUACCAUCCCAACUGUGUUGUCUUCUUUUUGUUUUUGUUGCUUCCACUUCUUUGAUUCCUAGAUGAGAUAUCCCCAUCUCUAGCCACUUUAUCAAAGCAUAUGUCCAACAUAUUAUCUUCCUCAUCCUCAUCAAAAGAAUCAUCGCCCAAAUCACUAGCAUAAGCAUUAUUGGUGUUGCUUAUUAUGAAGCAAGAAAGCAAUUAUUUUCUGGUAUCUUAUGUUCUUUCUUUGGAAUAAAUAUCCUAUUUAAUUUGUGUAGUUGCAAACCCCAACAGAUUAUUGUGUUGGAAGGAAUUAUUCUUACAGUAUAAUUCCAACAAUAGCAUCCAUAUUCCCUAUCUCAACUAAAUCAGAAAGGAAAAAAUAAUGAAUAUUUAAAUACUUUCUCGGUCGAACUUAUUGCACCAAACUUGCUUAGUGUGUAACCUCUCCCUUGUGUUGUGCGAGCCGUUAGACUGGAACAACUACAAUGGACAUCUUUCACGAUGGAAGUUCACAGAUGAGCAAGUUGAUAGCCCAUUCACUACAUACACAUAUUUAGGCUUUGAACUAAGCACUAUAGAGAAACAUGAUAUAGUACUUUUAGUUUUCACCAUGCUAAAACGUAAAAAUAAAUUAUACUUAGCAUUUCUCAUUGGCAACAAAAUAUUGGGUUAUCAUAUACACUCCUCAUCUAAAUUGAGGAAGUGCAACUCUGUUACUCAAAAUAAUCAUUCACAUUUAUAAUUCAACUUUUGAAAAUAUUAUUUGAAGCAAAACACAAACUCUUGAAUUAUCUACAUAUAAUAUGCUCGAAGUACACAUAAACUGAUGCAUAUAUAAACAAAAUGGGAGUAAUUUGACGGUAGAAAAAUACGUGUUUUUUGUUGAAAGAAUCAACUUCACCAAAUUAAAGAUUGAACAAACCCCAACAACCUCAAUAUAUUCAAGGACAAUAUAUUGAAAGCUCAAAUAAAGAAGCAGGAAAAAUACCUUAUGCAAACUACUGGUUCAAGUUGGUAACUAUUAAGCAAAAAUUUGUAAAUAUAGUAACUUUAGAUUGUGUAUAUAAUCUUGUGAGAGAUGUAAUAUUCUAUGAGAUAUUAUAUGAUAUCUCAUUCCUAUAAUAUAUCAUAGAAUAUUACAUCUGUCACAAAAUUAUAUUACACGAUCUAAAGUUACUAUAUUUACAAAUCUUUGCUUAAUACCCCCUCAAGUUGGUGCGUGAAGAUUUUGAAUAGCACAAUUAGCAUCAAGUGAAGUAAACUCGGGCAAUUUGAAUAGAAAUAUAUGAAUUUCUGAAAUCUCUAACUAACAACUAUACCAGGAUGGAUUCUACCGAAUCUUGAUUGAAGGGUAGAUAAACUAAUUGGAAGCAACGUCAACAUUGCCAAAAAUUUAUACUAACUGUAACACCCCAUAAACUUUUUGAACUAAGACUCGAACCGUUCUUCAUAGUGAGUGAGAUUUUUGCAAGGAAUUUAAAAUUUCUCGAGUGUUAAGGUCACUAGAUGUAGUACCUUAAGUUCCAAGAAGAACCAAAGAGAAAAACAUUCAAGUCAUUCCUAAGUUUUUCUUAAGUUUUGGGUCAACUUCAAAUGACCAUAAUUUUUAGUACAAGAUGAGUUAGGAGACCCAUAAGAUAUUAAAUUAAAUCCCUUCGAGUCCUCUUUCCAAUGCCACCGAGUUUGCUAAAUUUUGAGCUCUGGGUAAAAAGUUAUGACUGAUUUACUAACGAUGCUCAAACCUGGCUGCUCCGCGCUGGCUCCGGGUUACGGAGCCAAUACGGACCUCACUGCCUGGUGAAAAAUUAUUCCGACUCCCAGCUUGUUUUAUUUAUUUCUUAAAUAGUAUUUUGGUCCUAAAAAGCCUUAGAAGGUCAUCUAAAUUACCCUAAAUGAGUAGAAAAUCAGUUUUUUCUUAAAUCAAACCCUCUCAUCCACUCCAAAAUUCUACGCUCAAGAAAUUCAAGAAAAUGGUAAGGCUAGGGUUCAUCUUCCAAGAUUUUUCUUCAAGAUCUUCAAGAAAGAUGGUUCUUUCAGGUAUGUAAGCUUCCAUAGUGUUGGGUUUGUUCACCCACACGCCAAUCAUGUUAAUUUCAACGUUAAAUUCGUUCUAGAAAGUUGAAAGUUUGGUGUUCUUAAACUAUGUUCUUGAAAUUGGCUUUAGUUCUUGAGUUUAGAUGAGAUUGUUGAGUUCUUAAUGAAAUAAUGUCGAUUUUAGAGUUGUAUAUGAGUAGGUUCUUGUGUUCAUGUGUUGGGUAUCUAAAUCUAAAGAGGGAUUGAGAAAAAGAAUCGAAUAUAGGCGAAUUGGGGUUGAGAAAACAAAGAAGGAAAAAGUCAAGAGAAUCUGGCACCUUGCUACGCGUCGCGGACCUAUUCCUUCAGUGUGAAAUUUUUUCUCCGCGUUGCGGACUUGCUCUCCAGACAGUGUUUUUCAACAGUUUCUCAUGUUUAACUAUCUAAAAACACUCCUAAAACAUCACGAGAUCUUUCCUAUCACAAAUCACAACCUUGAAUUCAUAAAUCAAAUUCAAGGUAGAAUUGAGAGUCAAGUUUUGAGAGUUCUUUCAAACAUUUUUUAGAAAGUCCCCUUGAGUCUUUUGAGGAGUCUUCUACAAUUUCUAAUAACUUGUUUCAAGACUCGAGCAUGUGAGUAUGAGAAUGAGAAAAAUGUAUUCAUGAGUCUACUUUAUCACCACGAGAUCCUUCAUAUCAUGAACCAUAACUCUUGAAUUCAUAAUUCACAUUCAAGAGAGAGUUAAGAGUAGAGUUCAAGGAAGUCUUUGAGUUCAAUUGUGAAUCCUUUGGGAUCAACUAUUGAUUUGAACUAAGUUUUGAGGAAGUAAGUAAGAGAAUGAGAAGAGUCAUAUACAUGAGUUCCAUGUAGUUAUGUAGACCUUCGAGUCGAAUCGUUCAUGCCUAUAAAUUUUGCAUGGACUCCAUAAAUUGAGUAUCAUUGACAGGAAUAGUAUCUUAAUGUUCUAAGUCUUGAGUAUUGAGUUAUUAAUCCAUAUUACAUUUCUAAUCAUGGGACUAUUACAUGUNNNNNNNNNNNNNNNNNNNNNNNNNNNNNNNNNNNNNNNNNNNNNNNNNNNNNNNNNNNNNNNNNNNNNNNNNNNNNNNNNNNNNNNNNNNNNNNNNNNNNNNNNNNNNNNNNNNNNNNNNNNNNNNNNNNNNNNNNNNNNNNNNNNNNNNNNNNNNNNNNNNNNNNNNNNNNNNNNNNNNNNNNNNNNNNNNNNNNNNNNNNNNNNNNNNNNNNNNNNNNNNNNNNNNNNNNNNNNNNNNNNNNNNNNNNNNNNAAGAUGAGAGGAAACUGAGAUUUCCAAAAGAGUUUUGCGCAGUUUGAGUACCAUCUCAUUUAAGAGAAAGAUUUUUGAGUAAUUAUCUCAAAUCAAAGAAAAAGUUAUGUUUUUAAACAUAUGAGCUGAGUAUUUUGGGAGUAGUAUUGAGCACCUCUAUGGGAACGAGUUUGAGUUCAGAUAACUCACGUCUUCAUAAACCAUGUAGCCAUCAUGGGUAGAAAAGAUCAUACUUUUUAGAUGAUUCUUUAGUGCAUUUUAGCAUAGACUAGUGGAUCCACUUAGUUAAGGCGUCCUAUAUGACGGGAAAGUAUAGGACAAUUAUGGUAGCGUGGGCAAGACGUUGUAUCAUCACUUAGACUCAUAGUGGUGGUUGUCGGUUAGAGAAACUCCCACAGAGUUAUAUUAUAUAUAAAUUGAGUUGUUAUUGUAUUCUUCAAUACACUGAGUUGAUUUCUACUGUUUUAAAAGAUUUUCAUAUAUUGCAUGUGUAUUGUUGCUUUAUAUUGAGUUGAGUAUCAUAUCUUUGAGUUGAGUAUCUAAUCUCUGAGUUGAGUAUCUUAUCCUUGAGUACUUCUGAGUUAAGUUAGUUUGAGUAGUUUUGAGUAUCCUUGGGUAUUCCUUGAGUUGAGUAAGUUUGAAAAGGGGUGAGUAUGUUUCCUUUUUAUCAAGUUCAAGCUUAUGUUAUCCUUUAGAAUUCCCCUUACAUGCACGUACAUUCCACGUACUGAACCAUUUGGCAUGCAUCCUUUCAUGAUGCAGAUUCGGGUAUUCGGGAUCAUCAACAGGAGCUUCAUUGAUACCACAUGGAGUUCGAGUUAGCUAUGGUGAGCCUCCUUGCUUCUGGAGGAUUUCAUUUACUUUUCAGUUUUGUCAGGAUGUCGUGGGUUUCAUCCCGACUUCCAUCUUUGUCAUUUAGAGGCUUCAUAGAUAGACAGUAGAGUUUGAGAAGUCUGUAUCAUUUAUUUUGUUAAAUGUUUUAAAGACUUAAGUUGCCUAUUUUAUGGCGAGUUGAAUAUAUUAUUUUAUUCAUAGUUUUUCAUUUGAGUUAAAGCUUUGUAUUUCAGUUUCAUGAAUUUUAUUCAGUUUUUAAGCUUUGUAUGCUUGAGUUAGUCUUUCGCUUGUAAUUAACCCGGAUGAGGGUUCGCUUGGGGACCAACAAUGGUUCUUCAGUACCGACCACGUCCAGGGUGUAGGCUCGGAUCGUGACACUAACAUAGAAUAGGAAGGCACAAAUAAAGAAUAAUAUAAUACAUAACUUGAAUAUAGAGUAAACAAAUAAACAAAACAAUCAAUGGUGAGGAGAUAAAAUCAGAAAAGUUAACGCAAUUACUCUAGGUAAAUAAUCAUAAUAAGAAAACUACAUCAGCUCGAAAUACAUUGCAUUCAACUGUCAAGUGUCUAAACUGCCCUCAAAUACAAUUUUAAAGACAAAAAACUGCCAUGUUGAUACCUCACAUUUCUAAUAUAGCAGAAGUAAAAGUACAAAAGAAAAAAUUAUGUUAGAUUGCUUAAUUUUCAGCAAACCAACGAUCUUUUGUUUAAGAAUUAACAAAGCAAGAAUACAGUAGUAUAGAUUGGUAUUAUUUAUGAAAUUUCCUCUUUUCAAAUAUUAAAGACUCUUAACUUAAACUAGACUAGAUGAAAAAAAUUAUUUUGAGAACUUCACUAUAUAUUCAUGUUCUAGAAAUCAAACUAUUCAAGACUCUUUAUUUGUUUAUAAUUUUCUUUUUUCCUCAAAUAAAACCUACUAAAUUAAUAGGUCAAAAUGUCAAGAUUAGCCCCGAAAAAUAAAUUAAAAUGAUGUAAAAUUUAGGUUCAAUCGUAAAUUAGAUAUUCAUAAUCACAUCGUCCUAUAUUAACAAGUCGUCUUCAUUUGUAGACUUUAUUUGUCAGAAAACCUACAUAUUUGUUUGCUUCUCUCCGGGUAUGGAUAAUAUUUAUCUUGGUGGCAUCAAGCAAAUACUUGCAAUCUCUUAUCACAUUCAUUUUUUUAUGCGGAAAUAAUCUCUUCUGAUCAAUUACAAUUUGAAUAGAAAAAUAUGAUCAUUUUUGGAUAUUCUAAAUAUAAAAAAAAAUCAUCAUAUAAAAAGGAGAUAGGGUGAAAAACACACUUAAACUAUUGAAAGCGUGAGUUACAUACCUAUACCUAAACUAUCACUUACUCCCUCUGUUCCCUUUUAUUAGUCAUCCUUACUAUAAAUAGUUGGUUCAUAAUACUUAUCAUUUCAUAAAAUCUAUGCAUAAAUUACAAUAUUCUUCCUAUUUUACCCUUAUGAGUUAUUGGCCUUGAAAAUAUACAUUUGGCCAACAUAAAAAACUAAGUGAAUAAUACAUGUUCAUUGAUCAAAUUAAUUAAUCAAAAUAAAUUAAUUCAUAUUCAUUGAUUGAAAAGUAGACUUCAAAAAAAAUUAAAUAAGGAUAGAAUAGUAAACUUACUUAAUUUCUUAAUGCACAUGAAUAAAGAUGAUGACAUAUAAAUACGAAUAGAGAGAAUAUUAGUUUGAGAAACACAUCUCUCUCUUUUAUUACACUCUCAUCGUGGUGCAUGUACUACACUCUCUCUCUUUUAUUUUAAAAAAUUAUCACAUCACACUCCACAUAGACAAACAUUCCACCUUUACAAAAAUUAAAUAAUUAUUAGUAUUUAUUAAAAUUAAAGAUUAAAAAAUUAUUAUCUCCCAAAAAAAUAAUACUUUUUUAUAAAAUAAAAUGUAAAAUAUUUUUCUUACCUCACUCAUCACUUCCUCUCACCGUCCCCCCUUCCCCACCCAUUUUUUUUGUUUAAAUUUCUUUUAUAAAAGUAUUUAAUUUUUUUACUUCAUCCCCCCCCCCCCAAAAUACUAAUUUAGAUAUUAUUUUAUUUUUAAAAAAUAUAUAAUUCUACCCACUUCACCUAACCCUCCGCUUUCAAAAUUUUUUUCUCGUUUUAUGUUAGAUAUAUACAUACCAAAAUAUUUUUUACUUGCUGCCACAAGACUUUUUUUAAAAUAAACUUUUUAUUUAUGUUAUAUACGGUACACAAGUAGAAAAAAUUCCUAAAAACAUAUGUACAUAUCUAAUACAAAACGAGAAAAAUGUAAAAUAAAUAAAUAAAUUAUAAACAGAUAGUUAAAUAAGAUGGGUUAGAAUUUUAUUUUAUUUUGUUUGGUAACUGUAAUGUUUAUUACCAGAUUUUCUAUAUGUACAAAGUUUAGAUACUCUGGAUGUGGACAUCUUCCACUCUCAGAGCCCAUCUAAUUAAAAAAAAACUACCUGCUAGAUUCUAUUCUAAGGAUAGAAAUUAAGCUUUUGCAUAAAACAUAUAAAUCUAGGUAGCAUACUAGCUCUACAAUGUAUGUCCUGUAUGAUUGUUCUAAUGAUCAACUCCAUGUUCCUCUCCUUGCUUUGAAAAAUUUGGUAGUUCCUCUCUUGCCAAAUAUAGUAGAUUGUUGCUGCAAGUGUCAUUCUGUAUAUUUAUGCUUGUAUGGUUUUGUUUGAAGCAUGCUCUACAGCCCACGUCAAUUCCUCAUUCCAUCCAUUACUGACUCUAAUUAUUGCUAGCCAGUGCAGGAGUUUUUGCCAUAUCCCUUUUGAGAAUCGACAGGUAAAUAAUAGGUGUUGGUGUGAUUCAUUUUCUUCCUUGCAAAGUGGACAUAUUACUUCACUUGUGAUCCCCCAUAUUUCCAAUCUAUCUAUGGUGUAUAAUCUUCUAUGAAUAGCCAGGUACAUUGCAAAUAUCCAUUUAGGAUUUCCCUGGUUAUUGCAUGUCAUUCUCCUCCAGGGAACCUUUAUAUACUCCAUUUUUAGCUUCUUAUACAUUUCUUUAAUACUAAAUUCAUCUGCCUCCAAAAUUUCUGCAAAUUGCAGACCUUUUUCUUCCAGCCACUUGCCUGCAUGCAUGAUUUUCCUCACUAUCCAAGAAGCCUGAUUUGCUCUCACUUCCCAUGGUCUUCUACCUUUGAGGUAGAAGGUAUGUACCCAAAUAAUCCAUAAUUUAUCUUUCUUCUUGCUUAGUUCCCAUAAGUGUUUUAGCAGAGCUGCUUUAUUCCACACAUAUAUAUCAGUAACAGUGAGUCCUCCUGCAACUUUUGGCCAACAAAGUGUGUCCCAUGCUAUAAGAGCCUCUCCUUUAGCUUGUACCUCUCAAUUCCAUAGGAACCUUUUACAUAUAGUCUCUAUUCUUUUGAGAAUUUGCUUUGGUAGCAGAAAGAUUUGUGUCCAGAAAGCUUGCAUAGCUGUUAAAACACUGUUAACCAGUUGUAAACUUUUUGCAUAAGACAAGAAUUUGACUGUCCAUGUUGUAAUUUUUCCGAAUAUCCUGUCUAUUAAUGGUUGGCAUUGCCCUACUGACAGUUUCUUUGAACUCAAAGGCACUCCAAGGUAUCUGAAAGGGAGUAGUCCUUUUACAAAACCUGUUUGCUGCAGUAUUAAUUGUUGCAUCUCUUCUGACACUCCUCCAAAGUAAAUACAACUCUUGGCCUGACUUUCUUUGAGUCCAGACACCUUUGAGAAAAGCUGAAAACACUCAUAUAAGAAAGUACUUGAUGUUAUAUCUCCUCUACUAAACAACAAUAGAUCAUCAACAAAGCUUAGUUGUAUGAUGUGUUGUAUGUGGCAUCUAGGAUGAUACUUAAACUUUGGAUUCCUUCUCAGUGUUUUCAGUAAUCUUGUGAGGUAAUCCAUGGCAAGGAAAAACAAAUAAGGUGACAGUUACCCCUCUCUUUGCUUGAAAAGGUACACUAGGACAUCCAUUGAUCAAUAUUGAGUAAGACACAGUCCUGACACAGCUCAUUGUCCAUUCUAAGAACUUUUGAGGAACCUGCAUACCAGUUAGUACCUCUUCCAGAAAAUGCCAUUCCAAAGAGUCAUAUGCCUUCUGCAUAUCUAUCUUGAACAUACAUCUAGGUGAGGUUCCUUUUCUUCCAUACCUUUUAACCAGUUCAUGGCUGAGGAGCACAUUAUCAGUCAACAUUCUACCAGGUACAAAAGCAGCCUGUCUUGGAUCAACUAGAUAGUUCAUGACACUAUGAAGUCUUUUUGUGAGCAUCUUUGAAAUGAUCUUAUACAAAGUAGUGCAACAAGAAAUGUGCAUGUAUUCUUUUAUUGAAGUGGGGUGUUUUACCUUAGGAAUCAAAGUGACAGAGGUUCAAUUUAUGGGAGCAUACAUUUCAGUUGUGAGAAAGAAUUGUAAAACAGUUGUUGUUACCUCCUCCCCUAUGAUUGGCCAAGCUUUUUUGAAGAAAUAAGAGUUGAACCCAUUCUCUCCUGGUGCUUUUGAAUCCCCAAUGCUCAUAAGAGUUUCUUUCACAUCAGCAUCCUUGAAUGGUUGAAUGAGGACCAUUUUUUGCUCUCUUGUAAGGACUGGUCCAUCUUUUAGAACUUCAAGAUGUGUAGCUUCCAUGUGUUUAUUGCAUUGACCUAGCAAUUUUUGAUAAAAUCCCACAGCUUCCUUUGUAACAUCUAUCGCAUCCCUAAUAACAGUCCCAUCCUCUCUUGUGAGCAUGUUGAUCUGAUUUUGAGCCUUCCUUCCUUUCAUACUAGCAAAGAAAUAAGCAUUGUUAGCAUCCCCCAGUUUGAGCCAUUGUACUCUAGACUUUUGCUUAUAUAUGUUCUCUUCAAUCAUACUCCACUUUGCCAGUUUAGUUCUCAGUAGUUUUUCCUCAUCAAUGAUGUCUUGUGAUAUUGGCCUUACUUUCAUAUUCCUUUGUGUAUCUAUGAGCUCUCUUCUGAGUGUUUGUACUUUUUUCGAGACUCCCAUAAACUCUUUUUGAUUAAUCUUUUUCAUCUCUAUCCUUACCAUUUUCAGAUUCCUCCAUACCCCUUUCAUGCCUCCUCCUAAAAUUUGCCAGCUAGCUUCUACCCUUUUCCCUGAAGUCUGGAUGUUGUCCUAUGCAAUUAUAAAACCUGAAAGGUCUCUUCCUUGUAUCACUUUGCUCAUCCAGUAUCAAUCUUAAAAGGGAAUGAUAUGAAAAUAAAGGCUCCAUAGCAAUGACCUGUUGUGUAUCCAGCUUGUUCACCCACUUAACAUUAACUAUAGCUUUGUCUAUUCUGCUAUAUACAUGUCCAUUGGUCCUUGUAUAAUUCCUCCCUCAUAUCUGCAGUUCAAUAAGGUUGGAAUCAAUCACACACUCCUUGAAAUCUCUUAUUUCUACAUCUUGUACCUGACUACCAACUAUUCUAUCAUCUUGUGCUAGUAUAGAAUUGUAAUCCCCCAUAAUCAACCAUAGAUCAUUAAUUUGGCUACUCAUUUGAUGAAUUGCUGCCCAUAAUGAAGCCCUGGUAUUGAUAGUAUGUAAGCCAUACACAGCAGUAAACUGAAACUGUGUAUUAUCUAUUUCCACCAAACCAUGUAUGUAUUGUUCAACAUCUGCCACCUUUUUGAAACUAGCUUCCUUUGGAUUCCAUAUCACCCAUAUCUUUCCUUUUAUAUUUGUGUUAGCAUUAGUACACCACUCCUAUCCUGGUAAACUUCUAUUAAUAAUAUGAUUUUCUCUAUCUUGUCUUACUCUAUGCUCACAGAUUACUAUUAAGUUCACCUUAUUCCUUCUCACAAACAACCACAGCUCCUUUUGUUUCAUCUCCUGAUUAAAUCCCCUCACAUUCCAUGUUACUAUCAUGAAUUGAUGGUUGCAAAGAUGUCAUCUUCAUUCCACCACUUCCUUCUCCACUCAUUUAUCCUUUCUCAUAAGUCAUGACCCCUGCUGUAGGACCCUGUCCUCCUCUUUCUUCUUGUAUAUUUCUAUAGUCCCUUAUAUUAGAAGUUCUAUGUCUUACAGUAUGCCACUCUCCUUAACUGUGUUGCUUCAUCCUUAUCCUUAGUUGAUUGCUCUUGCUGGUUUGCUUCAACCUGUUUAGUAUCACAUCAUUGCUCAUUGUUUGUAGUGGGUAUCCAUUCUUUCCUCUGUACUUGCCCCUGAUUCUUCUUUUGGAACUGUAUAGGUGCCUCUAGUUUUUCCACACACGAAUGCCCCACUUGUAGACAUUUCUGGCAAAAUAUUGGCUUCCAUUCAUACCAGACUUUCUGCUCUACUACUCUUUCUUUUGUAUCCUGUAUUUUAAUCACCUUUGCCAGGGGUUUAGUAACAUCUACUUCCACUAAUAUUCUGGCAAACGAGAUUGUACUGACUUGAGUUGUACAUUCAUCUGCAUACAAAAGCUUCCUCAAACUACUACCUAUCUUACUCAAUACAACUGAAUUCUAACAGUUAAGUGGCAGAUUUGGGAGUUUAAUCCACAGCGGAAUGGUGGUGAGAAUUUCCUCUUUGAAGUUGAACUACGGCACCCAUGGUUUCAUUAUAACAGGUCUUCUAAGUAAGUGGUGAGGUCCAGAGCACAACACCUUAUCCAUUUCUUCCUUAUUAGCAAACCUUACAACAAAAUACCCAUCUACAUGGUAUAGAAUUACAGAUUUUGUGGAGAAAGUACCUUGUCCCAUUAUAAAUCUCUAUAUGGCUCUAAUAGUUGGAGUUGUUCCUACCACAUAAACUACUAUUAAUUGAUGGAGCCCAUUUCUCAUCAUCCUGAGCUACAUCCUCAGGUAAAAUUUCUACUACUUCUUCCCCAUCCACUAUCAUAGGUGGAAUGUAAUUUAGAUUCAUACCUCGAGUCGUCAAUCUAUUGGUAGCAAACAGAUCUGCCCAUGGCUUCUUCACUUCUUCAACACUCAAUUCCAGCUUCCUCUGUGUUUUGUUUGGUGUUUUCCCUGAGUUACUGUUCCAUUGCUUCCCAACAAAUUUUGUUGUAGCCCAGAUCCAGUUCCUCUUUUGUUUGAGAGCUCUGGCCAUUGCUCCUCCAUUUUUGUUUUCCCUUUCCCUUUACUAGCAUCAACCAUCAGUUGUAUUUGUAGUCCGUCCAGUGUGAGCAUCUGUACUUCUUCAAUUGUUUCACUCCUAGUUAACUGCCCAGCUGUCGAGCUGCUAGCUACUCUAUGGUGUAUCUCCUUCUCGCAGUACCUUUGGUUAGCUCUUUUUGGUCAUCCCCUCCCCAUUUCCGACAAGGUGCAAAUUAGUGCACACUAACGUGCGCCGAGAGAGAAAAAGAGAUGUUUAAAAAUAUUUUAUAAAAGAAUUUUUAAAAAAAAAUAAAAGGACGGGGGAUUGUGGGGGAGGGAGGGGAGGAGGUAGUGGAGUGAGGUAAGAAAAACAAUUUAAAUUUUAUUUUUAAAAAAAUAAUUUUUGGGGGGAUAGGAAUACUUUAAUAUUUAAUAUUUAAUUAUUAAUUAAUAUUAAUAAUUUAUUAUUUAAUUUUUGUCAAGAUGAAAUAUUUUAUCCAUAUGGAAUGCCAUGUGUCAAGGUUUUUUCAAAUAAAAGAGAGAGUGUAUUACACACACCAAUGAGGGUGUGUUUCUCAAACUAAUAAGUGAUAGUCUAGGUAUGAAACUCACACUCUCAAUAGUUUAGGUAUGAUUAGGGGAUAAUUUAGGUGUGUUUUUGACACUUAUCUCAUAAAUUAAUAGUAUUAGUUAUAGUUAAAGUUAAAGAUUAAAGUAUUACUAUUCCCCCAAAAAAAAAUUAUAAAAUAAAAUGUAAUAUAUAUAUUUUUACCCGACCCCACGACUUUCUCUCACCGUACCACCCCUAACUCAAUUUUUUAGUUUUUUUUCAAAAGAUAUUCUUUUAUAAAAAAUUCUUGUUUCGUCCCCGUUCCCCAUCCCUUCAAAUAAUAAUUUAGAUAAUAUUUUAUUUAAAAAAAACAAAAACAAAAUUCCACACAACCCUCCGCUACCUUUUUUUCUCGUUUUGUUUUAGAUAAAUAUAUUUUUUUGCUUGCCGCAAAACUUUUUUUAAAAUAAUUUUUUUAUUUCUAUUAUCUUCGGUACAUAAAUAGAAAAUAAUAUUUUCUAAAAAUAUAUAUACACAUCUAACACAAAACGAGAAAAAUAUAAAAAAUAAUAAUAAUAGAUUAGGAGCAGAGGGUGAGAUGGGGUGAGGUAGACUUUUAUUUUAUUUUUUAAAAAAGUAAUAUCAAACGUUUUUGGAAGGAGUGGAGAGAGGGCGAGGUAUAAAAGAAUUUGAAAAAAUAGGACGGGGAAUUAUCCGGGGGAAGGGGUAAGGAGAUGGUGGAGUGGAUGAGAAAAAUUAUAUAUAUAUUUGGAAUAGUUAUACUUUAUACUUUAGUUUUUAACUAAUAUUAAUAGUUUAUUUAAUUUUGGGAAAAGGUAGAAGUACCUCCCUAGAUUAUGACCCAAAUUUCAGAGACACACCUUAACUAAACUAAAGUUCUAUUAUCGCCUGAACUCAUUUUUUUUUGUAAUUUUGUAUACCUUUUUGGCUUACGUGACAUCCAAAUAUAUCCCACGUGCCUCAAUUGUGUGGAGUCGCGGGGUGUGCCACAUAAGCCAAAAGGUGUACAAUAUUAUAUAUAAAAUGAGUUUAGAAGGAUAAUAAGACCUUAGUUUAGUUAAGGUGUAUCUGUAAUUUCGGUCAUAGUCUAGAGAGGUAUUUGUGCCUUCUCCCAUUAAUUUUUAUCAAAGUAAAAUAUUUUAUCGAUGUGAUUUUGCAAAUAAAAGAAAGAGUGUAUUGCUUAAAUAUGUUUCUCAACUUACAAGAUUUUCUUUGUCCUCUUUGAUUGCUUUAAUUCUUUACUUCCUCUGUGUCUCUCUGGGUCCAUCCUAUGAAUUUCCUAGCCAAUAAUAGUAUGCCACGUGUGUAAACAUGCAUAAAAAUUCCGUUUUUGAGUCGUGAAGUGUGAGAAUGGCAUAAGAAAUUAUUGUUCUCUCUUUAUGUUAUGUUCUUACCAACUAAGGAGUCAAAGAAUCUUUGUUGGGUUUUAGACUUGUAGGGAAACAAGAAGAAUAAAAGGCCUACAAGUGUUAAACUGGUCAUUUAGAUUUUAUCCAUCAAAGAAAACAAAAGGUAUGUUGAAGAGCUACCUACCUAAUCAAAUCUUUCUUUAGUUUUACAGUUUUCCAUGUUUGUGUUUUACCUAAAUCCUCUUUUUUUCCAUUUGGGGUUUGCUUUUUGUGAAUGAAUAUGAGUUAAGGAUUGGAUUUUUAGUACAUGUUGUUGAUAAAGAUUGUGUUUUUGUCUUGGAGUGAGAAAAUCUUGUGUAUAUUUAUCUUUGUCGUGUACUAUUUCCUCUUUUUCCGAUUUAUUUGUCUGAUUUAAUUUAUCGACAUUUAAGAAAAUAAAUGAAGACUUUUAAAUCUUGUUCUAUUAAACUAAACAUCCAUAUUGUUGUAGAAUGUAUGAAAAUGACAUUUAAUCUUAAUUUUGAAUUAAUGAACAAGUUAAAAAAUAACAAUAUAUUUUCUUUUAAAUGGACUUGAAAGAAAAAUCAAUUGAAACAGGGUACCAUUUUAUUUUCAGAAUGCCCUUCUCUUACUUGAUUCAGAUUGCUGCUCUUAUUUUUGGAUGUUAUGCGUAAUUUCUUUUGGUACAUUAGAAAGAAAAAUAAAAAAUUUAAAGUUGUUCAUAAGCAAUAUGCUUAAGUUGGAAACUUUAUGUUCUUAAUUAAGUGCAUGAAUCCAGAGUAUUACAGAGCCUCUUCAUGAUUGUGAUUCUCCACAAACAAGUAGUUUUUGGAUAUGCGCUUUAUACGUGUACUUGAACGAGUAUGUAAGUUUUAAAAAAAUUGGAUAAAUGCAAUGCUUUUGACUUAAUCAUUUGUCUAACAUUGUUUGGUUGGGCACAGAAUUUGAGAAAUAAGAAGACUUUUGUGACACCUUGGAUAUAUCCACACAUAAUGGAUCUAAACAUGUACUAUGCUGCAAUGAAAGGGAUUAUGGAAAAUGGUGAUUUUUCACUUGUUGAUCAUCUGAAAAGGGAGGAAUUAGAAAAUGGUUACCAAGUCACUUCAAAGGGAAACACAAUCCUCCAUGUGGCAGCUCUCUUUGGCCAACGAGGUUUCGUGGGAGAAGUCCUUAAGAUUACCCCGGCAUUAUUAUGCUAUAAGAAUAAGAAAAAUGAAACUGCGCUUCACAUUGCAGCUGAUGCAGGACAAAGUGAAGUGGUGAGUGAGCUACUUAGCGUAGAAGGAAAAGAGACACUUGUGAGGAUGACGGAUGACAUUGGAGAUACGGCGUUGCACAAGGCUAUGAGAGGUGGACACAUUGACAUUGUCAGGAUGUUGGUGAAAUUAUUACUAGAUCCUGAACACGACUUCCCAGCCAAUAAGGCAGGGGAGACACCACUUUAUUUGGCAGCAGAGUCUGGUUUUCAUGAUGCUUUGAUUGAAAUCUUGAACGUUUGCAAAGAACCAACUUAUGUUGCAGGUCCAUCCAAUCGAACACCUCUACAUGCAGCUGUAAUUCAAGAACACACGGGUGAGUACCUCCUGGAUGAUUUCAUCAUAUUAUAUAUGGAAAAUGAUUAAAUUUGUCCCUCUACUAACAGAAAGAAGCUAUAUUUGUCUUUGGUUAAGAAAAAUUCAAUAAAUAUACUCCUACAGGCAUACUUUAUGAUCUUGUUAAACGAAAAAAUCAUUCAUUUAUCAGCAUAUAUCAUAUAUAACAUUUGACUAAUAUAUCCAGAAUGCGCGAGAUCACUAUGGCAAUGGAAUAAACCUUUAUGCGAAGAACCUGAUAAAUGGGGUUGGAAUUCACUGCACUAUGCUGUUAAACAAGGAUUGAAAGAAAUAGUUUCCGAUAUGUUGGGAUGGAAGAAAUCUUUAGCCUACCUUCUGGCAGGCAGUGAAAAUGACUGGACGACAACGUUUCACAUUGCAGCUAGUGAAGAUGAUGUGUUCAUGAUAUUUCAGUUAUUAAGCCACUGCCCAGAUUGUUGGGAAAUGCUUAAUAGCAAUGGCCAAAAUGCUCUUCAUGUUGCCAUAUUGAACGAUCGUAAAGUGUUGGUCGAGCUGUUACUUGACUUGGAAUUUUUUAAUAGCCUUGUUGAUGAGGCAGAUAAUGAAGGCAAUACUCCACUCCAUUUGCUUGCUGCCUCUAGGGACCAUGUGCCGC
rnacentral:lncRNA from 1 species